rnacentral:lncRNA from 1 species
UGGCCAUGAACAAGGUCACAGAUGUUGCCGAGCUAUACAUUCUGGCUGACAGAUGUGCCCGAGCAGAGGAAGGAAGGAAGUACCCCGGUGAAGACGGCGAUGUGAGAAGUGACUCUGAAGACGAAGACAUCGUUACCGCAGCAAAGAAAGGCCGGUGACGUAACAGGAAAUGCAAGGGCAAGACCUGCUUGCCGUUGAGGAAUCCGGCGACCCCGACACCGCCAAGAAGGCAGAGGUCGACGACCCCAACAAGGAGGUUUCCGGGUGCGACGCCUGCUAGGUCUUGGUGGCUGCUGGCAAGCUAGAGGGCUCCGACAAGCAGUAAUGCAAGAUCCAUCAUACCAAGGGUCCCGACCUCCAAAACUGUCGCCAAGUGGGGCUGCUGAUGGAGAAGCAAAGGGUUGUGUACGAGAGACGAGAAAAGGAGAAGGGCCAAGUAGGAACUGAAGGGAUGGCAAGAAGCGCGGCGGCCAAGGAGGACACGGCAACAAGGAAAAGCAACAAGAGAGGCCUGCUCGAGGCCGUGACAAGAAAGAGGAGGAUGAUGAUCAUGAUGACGAUGAUGAAUCCAUCGAGCAUGAGUUCCAGAAGGCGACAGAACUCAUUUGUGUCGACGGAGGUGCUUCGCUGCAUUCUUCCCACCACCAACUGAAACAGUGGGCGCGUGAGAUUAAUGCAAUGGAACCAAUGGUCGAUGCCUAGAAGCCGUUGAGGUGGUCCCACACGUCUACCGUUUUUUACGCUGAGGAUCACCCUGAUCGCACCACUGCAGUCGGGUGUUUGCCGUUGUUGGUAUCCCCAACAAUACGCAACCUCAAGAUCCCCGAUGAGGAUAACGAGGAGAUGGGCACGUUCCAAGGGAUCAAUCCGGGGAGGAGUCAGCCCAAGGGAAAGCUCACGCUACCAGUUACAUUUGGUGGCGACUUCAACUACAGGACAGAGAGGAUCGUUUUCAAUGUUGCUGAUAUCCCGUUACCAUACAACGGGAUCCUUGGCCGCCCUGUGCUGGCCAAGUUCAUGGCGGUGUCGCAUUACGCAUACAACAAGUUGAAGAUGCCUGGCCCGCUGAGCAUCAUCACCGUCAAUUGUGAUAGGAAGGAUGCGCUCAUCUGCGCCGAUUAGCUCUAUCGAGAGGCGGUUGCAGCAUCUGCCACCAAGGCACCUGCUCCUGCCACCGAAAAGAGGACCAGUAAGGCCUCGUCCGCCGACAAGACUACUGGCUCCGGCAAGGGCUCCUGUACCCUCUCCGGCAAAUGCGCCUCCUUGGAGUGACGUGUUUCCGCUGGAGAUGUACCGGAGAGCUCUACCAGCAAGAGCAAAAAGUCCAAGGCAGCCCCGCCGGAAACCUAGUAGGUGUCUGUCAAGGAAGAUGGCACGGGUGGAGCUUUCUUCAUAAGCUCCACCCUUGACAGCAAAUAGGAAAGCAUGCUCAUCACCUUCAUGCGGGCGAAUGUCGAUGUGUUUGCAUGGCAAGCAUCCGACAUCCCCGGUGUUCCCCAGGGAGGUGAUUGAGCACCAUCUUGCUGUCUUCCCCCAUGCACGGACCAUCAAGUAGAAGGUCAGGAAGCAAGCUUUGGAGAGACAAGAGUUUAUCUUCGAGGAGAUCAUGAAGAUGGAGGCAGCAGGUUUGGUCAAGGGAGUUCUUCACCCGACGUGGUUGGCCAAUCCGGUCGUAGUACGAAAGGCAAAUGGGAAGUGGAGGCUAUGUAUCGACUAUACUGAUAUCAAUAAAGCAUGUCCAAAGGAUCCUUUCCCAUUGCCAUGUAUCGAUCAGAUAGUGGACUCCACUGCUGGGUGCGACCUGCUGUCGUUCCUUGAUGCUUACUCAGGGUAUCAUCAGAUCUUCAUGACGAGGGAAGAUGAAGAGAAGGCCGCGUUCAUCACCCCAUGUGGUACGUACUGUUUUGUGCGGAUGCCUUUCGGGUUGAAAAGCGCUAGUUCAACGUUCGCCCGAGCAGUCCAAAUUGGUUUUGAGCCCCAGCUCCAUAAAAAUAUGGAAGAUUACAUGGAUGAUAUCAUAGUCAAAACCAAGGACAGGGCCACGCUCGUGUGGGGCCUAGAAGAAACUUUUGCAAACUUGCGCAGGAUCAACCUCAAGCUCAACCCAUAGAAAUGUGUGUUCGGUGUUCCGUCCAACAAGGUUCUUUGGUUCUUUGUGUCUCAACAUGGAAUCGAAGCAAAUCCUAACAAGAUCAAAGCAAUUGAGCAGAUUGAGGCACCAAGACGAGUCAAAGAGGUCCGAAGGCUUGCCGGCUGCGUUGCCGCCCUGAGUAGAUUCAUCUCUAAAUCUCCUGAGCAUGCCCUCCCCUUUUUCAAGAUUCUGAAAAAGGUGGGUCCAAUGAAAUGGACCCCAGAGGCAGAGGCAGCACUGCAUGACUUGAAGAGAUACCUCUCCUCUAUGCCAAUACUGGUUGCGCUGUGAGAUUUUGGGUUCCGCAAACCCUUGAAAGGUUCGAACUCUGGGGUGCGUGCGGAGAUCUCGACCUACCCAGCCUACCUACUAGCGAUCCUCCUAAGCCUAGCGCGUCGAGCUCAAAGAGACACAUCAGUUUAUCCUGGUUUGGGCUUGCGGUGUAAUACCCUACUCCAACAUUGCUCUCAACUUGGUUUUUAUUCUAUGGUGGUGGCUAAGUCCUAUUUAUAGUGGCAUUGGUCCUCUUCCCAAAUGUUGGCGGGAAGGGAUCCCACAACGGCCAGAAUUGAAAGGGGACAAGUAGUACAACUUAUCCUGACUAAAGUGGUCUUUGUCUGCGAAAAGCCACAUGCCAUGACACUGCGGUGGUCUCAGUAAUGAUCUCUGUCCUCACGUCCUAGUGGUCUUGGUCUUGUUGCACCAAAAUGGAAACCUUUGGCUGAUUCCUCGGGACUCUGCGCCUCUUGCUUGCCUCCCUUGCACCAAAGAGGAAACUGGCGCUCUGCGCCCGCUGGCGCCCGCUUGGUCUUGGUCGUCAUGGAUCAUGUUAGCUUAGCCUCAUGAGGCGCACCUUGCAUAGAACUCUCCGCCUCUCGGAGCCAGCCUAAAGAGGCCGAUCCCCUCGGGGGUCUUGGCAUCGUCCGCCUUGCGAGGCUUGGCCCCUCGCGAGGGUCUUGAGUCGUUGAUGUUGAAGCUGGGCCGUACCACACCGUCGAUGGAGCCGCGUGGUGGGCCGCAGGCAGGCAAGUCUGGAUACCCCCAUAUCCAAAACGCCGACAGUAGCCCGCGGGCCCAAGGCGAGCUCGGACUUAGCUUCCAGGCGAAACCAAGGGGAAAGUGCGAAGCGCCGUGGGCCCCAAACCGCCUGCGGCCUUGAUGAUGCGUGAUGAUUGAUGGGACAUGGCCGUCUCCACUUCCCCAUGCUUCCUCGGCAACUGUUUCCAUCUGACAAAAGGGGUUCCGCCUGCUGCAGUGCUUUCAUUGCCUUCCCUUCGUCUUGCUCCAGAUCUCCUUCUCCCAACACCGAAGGAACUCACCAGAUCUGCCAAUUCUCUCCUCCAAUCUUGCGCCCAUUGGCUUCUGAGAACACCAAGGCUGCAACCACGGCUGCCGGCCUCGCCUGGUACGAGCCGGUGCUGACCGCGCCCUUCGUCACCGAGGAGAAGCUCCAGACCGCGCUUCUCCUGACGGCGAGCGAGGACAACAGUGGAAGGAGACUACGCUUCGGGUCGCCGCCGCUAAGCCGGAACCCACGAAUAGUACCUUCUACCCUUUCUUCCUGCACAACGUCUAUUCGGGGCUGGUGCCCCCAUUCUCCCACUUCUUUUAUGUCGUUCUCCAUCAUUAUGGCCUCCAUGCGUGUCACAUCCCAGCUAGUCCAUGCAUUAGAGUGUUGCAUCAUGUCUACUUUCCAGCAGAAACUUGAAAUGGGGAUGACAGAACCCCCAACACCCCCUCUGAAUUCAACUAAGGUUUACUAAAAAAUAUUUUCAAUGAACCUGAAAUGCCCUUCUAAAAAGUUCACCCUCUUUGUCUUGGGUUAGAACCUCUUGCAAAAUUGGUGCACAAUUUUCUAGGUCAACAAAAGGUCAUAGAAUUAAAUCAUAUGUAAAUUGCAUUUGGGCAUUUAAAUGCUAGUAAAUACUUUGAAUGCUCAAAUAAUUAUGAAAAUAAGUGUGGGCUGUUGGAGAUAUUCUAAACAGAGCUCCUGAUUAUUUUCAGGAUUUUUAGAAGUGCCUAACUAUUUUUAAUAAAGCCACAAACUUACAGAAAAAUAGAAAUAGAAAACAAAGCAAAGCAGAGGCUUACCUGGCGCCCACCUAGCAAGCCCACCUGCCGGCCCAGCCCAGCCACCGCUCCAGUGAUCUGCUUGGCUUGGCCAGGCAGGCAGCCAGGUGCUCGACGUCGGCACCAGCGCGCGCCACGAAGCUGCCCGCCGCCCUGCUUCCUCCCCUCGCCGUUCUGCCGCCCUGGGUCGGUCACCCACUCCUUCCCCGAGCCCACAGACAUGCCCUUUUCCUCCCCAGCUCCUCUCCCUCGCUCUCCCGCACCAUGGCCGAUGCCACUGCAGCCGCACCGUCAUCGUAGUCGCGCUCUCCGUCAUCCCUGCGCCGCGCCGCCGUGUCCAGAAGCUUCGCCACCCUCCUCUCCUUCGAGCUAGCUGAGCCCCGAGCGCUCGCUUGCCUCGAGGCCUCUGCACCAACCUCGUCCGACCCCGCCACCGCCGGAGAUCCUUUCGUCGUCGCCGCCGCACCAGCUCGUCCCCGACCGCGCCGUCUGCUCCCUCGAGACCACCGUGAGCCCAGCUACCUCCUCCCCCUUCCCUUUCUCGCUCUCGUGCGCCACAACGAGCACAUGAAGCUUCACCGCACGCGCCACCGCCGAGCUCGUCGCCGACGUGUCUCCGGCCAACCACCGGCCACACCACCAUGUCCAACAGACUCACUGCAUCCCCAGGAGCCCAACACACCUCACCACGUGCCUCGCCGUGUCCCGUAGCCUUGGGUUCAUCUUCACCCGACUCCGGCGACCGCCAAGGUCAUAGCCGGCGACGUUCCCGGCCACCCCGAGCUCAACCACCCCCAUCAAGCGCUGCGGCUUGCUCCCAGCUACGCGUAGAUGCCCUCCGCCGCUCAUUUGGUCACGGAAAUGCGCGAAUGGACUUCCACCACCGCGUAUGGCCUCGCUGGCGGCUAAACGCCGGCGGGUUUGACCUUUGACUUUGACUGGGUGGGCCCAGGUUGACUUCCCCUUAGCCUAUGACAAGUGGGGCCCGUUCUGCUAAUUUGUAACGCCCCGAGUCCGAUGCGCCAGGUGUCUGCCAGUUAUUCACCAUCGUUGCCAUGUCAUUUGCUUGCGUGUUGCAUUUUAUCAUGUCAUCAUGUGCAUUUCAUUUUGCAUACGUGCUCGUCUCAUGCAUCCGAUCCUUUUCCCCGUUGUCCGUUUUGCAAUUCGGCGCUCCUAUGCCCUCCGGCGUUCCCCUUUUCGUCUCCUGUUGUGAGUGGGUGUUAAACUUUCUCGAAAUGGCCCGAGGCUUGCCAAGUGGCCUUGGUAUAGCACCGAUAGACCGCCUGUCAAGUAUUGUUCCAUUUGGAGUUCAUUUGGUACUCCAACGGUUAACUGGGUAACCGCAAAAGCCUCCUUCUCUUUGCAGCCCAACACCCCCUCCAAACUGGCCCAAAACCCAUCUAACUCCCCUCCAUGCUCUCGGUCGUUCGAUCACGAUCGCGUGGCCGAAAACUGCUCCUCAUUUGGACUCUCCUAGCUCCCUCCACCUAUAAAAACGUCUUCCCCUCUCCAUUUUCGGAUGAUUUUCCCACGAAACCCUAAUUUUCCCCUUCCUCCCGCAGCCGGACGCGUCCGCCCGCGGCGGACAUGUCCGCACCGGCCGCCGCAGCCACUCCCCUCGCGCCACGUGUCCUCCGUCGUCGUCCCCGCGCCAUCGGCCNNNNNNNNNNNNNNNNNNNNNNNNNNNNNNNNNNNNNNNNNNNNNNNNNNNNNNNNNNNNNNNNNNNNNNNNNNNNNNNNNNNNNNNNNNNNNNNNNNNNNNNNNNNNNNNNNNNNNNNNNNNNNNNNNNNNNNNNNNNNNNNNNNNNNNNNNNNNNNNNNNNNNNNNNNNNNNNNNNNNNNNNNNNNNNNNNNNNNNNNNNNNNNNNNNNNNNNNNNNNNNNNNNNNNNNNNNNNNNNNNNNNNNNNNNNNNNNNNNNNNNNNNNNNNNNNNNNNNNNNNNNNNNNNNNNNNNNNNNNNNNNNNCUCACGCUCGCUGGCCGCCUCCCUCCCUACGUCGCCUCGCCUCGCGCCGCCGCCCUCAUCCACCGGAGCCGCCGCGCGCGCCCGGAGCCGAGCUCCUCCGGUGCCUCCCUCCUCCGCGGCCGCGGUGCCGCGUCCCUCCUCCAGAUCCGGGUCGCCGCCACCCGAUCUGGCCGGUCCCCGCCGCCAGCACCAGCCCCGCGUCGCCCCGCUCCUCCGCCACAGCGCCGCUGUCGCCGCUCUGCAGCCCGAUCAGGGAGGUGCCCCGAUCCGGCCGGCCUCCCGUUCGCCCCCGAGUGGACCGGCCUGCUUCGCCGGCCCAGCCCAUCUCUGCCCCGGCCUGCUUCCUCUUCGUGGGCCGAGCCCAGGGUGAGCAACCCCUCUAUUCCCCGCCCGGUCACGUCUUAGUUAUUUUGCGCUCACAUGUUUUUUUCCUGAAAAUGACCAAGUCCCAGAUUUUGUAAUUUUGAUGCCAUAUUCGUCAUGUCGUAUCUCUGCAUCCGUAGCUCCGUUUCGUGCGUGUAAUAUGUCAAAUUGUUCGCCUCGACGAGAACAUAAUUUCCUUCCAUUGCACCAUAUUCAUUUGAGGUCAUCUAGAUGCCUGAAUCAUCAUUGUAAGAGUGCUUCAUGAUGUUUUCUGCUGUCUGUUAUCAGAACGAGCUCUUUUGUCAUUUUUGCCAUGAUUUAUGUGUGCAUCCUAUGAGGUUGAUGUCUUUAUGUGUUUUGAUCUAUGCUAUGUCUUCUUUACAGAGGUGCUUAGCAUGUAUUUUUGUGAUCAAUAUGGUGACUAGCACAAGCAUGCAAACUAGGCAUCAUGAUACUGCUGAUUUUAGUCCCUGUUCUGCUGUUAUUUUCAUGCCAUGUAAACUUGAUGCUACAGAGAGAUCCAUGCAUAUUUAGAGAUACUUCAGUAAGUGUGUUUUGAACAUAUGGUUAUUGUAUAUCCAUUCAUGCCCUUUGUUACAAUUAUGGAGUAGUCUAGCUUGUCAUUUGAGUGCUCUACUUUUGCUUCAAAAUGUUUCCUGGUAGAUUGUUUACAUGUUAUUCAAUUUGGCCAAGCUUGCUAUAGUUGAUCCUUGCAAGCUAUGGACUUGUUCUUGACUUGGUUUGUUUCACAACCAUGUCUUCUUGAUGAUGAUAUGCUUAUCUUGUCAUGCAAUGACUUGUGGUGAGUGAAUCGAGUUUGUUAAGUAGGGUUCAUGAUGUUGCUGUUUUGCUAGGCUGAAUCUGUCAUUUCGUGAUGCUAUAUAAACAUGUUGCUACUAAUCACUCUAUGCAUAAUCUGGAGAUGUUCUAUAAAUAUGUUUUGAUCUACAUGUCAUCCUCUAUCCAUCCAUGCCCCUGGUUGCAUUUAUAGCUUGCUGUAGAUUGUUCUAAUCUUGCUCUAAAGUUGCUUCAUAAUGUUGCUGUCAGCCUGUUAACAUUAAGUUCAGUUGUUUCCAUGUGUUUUCCUAGUGAUCCAUGCACCCUAUGACCUUGCUAUUGCCAUGCUUAGCUUCACAAACAUGUCUUCUCACUGUUGGGUGCCUUGCCAUGCCAUGUAUUGCUCUGUACUGAGUUGCACAAGCUCAUCUACAUGCCUUCAUAAUUAUGUUCCUGCCAUGUUUGAAUCUGUAUAAUAACUUGUCAUGUUUACGUGGGUGCCAUCAUAUUCUCUGAUCCUUUUUGGCUUAUGGUCAGUAAGGGACUUUUGAUCUAUGAAUUUAGUAGAUUCAUGCCAUGCCUUUGUUUGCCAUGAUAAGUUCCUGUAACAUAUUGUUUGAUAGCUCUAAACAUUGCAUCGUGGUGUUAUUUUCUGCAAAGUGUGAAUUGUUAUAACUUGCAAUCUUACCAUGUGUGUUUGAGCAUGUUCUAGUGAUUUCUGGAGAUAGCUCAGUGUUCAUGUUUUAUAAUGCUUUACCUGUAAAUCAUGCCCAUGCCUUUUGUUAUUGUGUUGAGAUGCUGUAGCUUGUUGUUUUGAUGCUUGCAAUAUGCCUAGUUGCUGUUUUGGACAGCUUGUCCUUUAAACUUGUAGUGUGCAUGUGUUGAACCGUUGCUCCGUUUUGAGUGUGCUAUAUAUGAAACUUACUUGAUUUUGCUUGUAGUUUCAUAUUAUCAUGUUGCAUCCUUGUUUUGAGGUGUUUGCUUCAUGUUUGUAUGCAUUUUGCAUCAAUGCCAUGUUUUACUUGUUCUGCUCAUAUCUUCUAGGCCGCAGCUCCGAAUCUAAUGAACUUUAUAUGUAACUUGACUAGAAUCUCGUGUAGAUCAUCUUAGUGCAUCUUAACUUGCUGUUUAACAACUUGAACAUAAGAUUUAUUCAGAUCUGGACCAAUUUCGAAAUAUGCAUAUGAGGAUUUACCGGAAUUGUUAUAUGUUGUUCCCGGCCUCAUUUAAACUUGCCUUGAUGUGUUGCUCUUGUUUGCAUCAUCUCUUGCCAUGAGUAACUUCAUGUAGUUUGGUCAUGCAUCAUGCUUGUUGUGCAUCAUGUCAUGUUCAUGUGUGGUGUGUUUACUAUGAUGUGUGCUUCUUUUCGUUAGUUCCUGUUUCGUUGCGAUCGUGAGGAUUCGUUCGUCUAUGGUUGGUUCGGCUUCAUCCGUUCGUCUUCUUCAUGGAUUCGUUCUUCUUCCUUGCAGGAUUUCAGGCAAGAUGGCCGCUACCCUGGAUCUCACUACUAUCAUUGCUAUGCUAGUUGCUUCGUUCUUUCGCUAUGCUGCGCUACCUAUCACCUGUUUAUUCAAGCCAUCCCAAAUUGCCAUGAACCUCUAACCUUUGACACCUUUGCCAUGCAAACCGUUGUUUGGCUAUGUUACCGCUUUUGCUCAGCCCCUCUUAUAGCGUUGCUAGUUGCAGGUGAAGUUGAAGAUCGCUCCAUGGUGGACAGGAUUUUGGUUGGGAUAUCACAAUAUCUCUUAUAUUAUUAAUGCAUCUAUAUACUUGGUAAAGGGUGGAACAGUCGGCCUUUUGCCUAGUGUUUUGUUCCACUCUUGCCGCCCUAGUUUCCGUCAUACCGGUGUUAUGUUCCCGGAUUUUGCGUUCCUUAUGCGGUCGGGAGAUUUAUGGGACCCCCUUGACAGUUCACUUUGAAUAAAACUCCUCCAGUAAGGCCCAACCUUGGUUUUACCUUUUGCCUCACCACCACCUAUACCUUUCCCUUGGGUCGGCCAACCCGAGGGUCAUCUUUAUUUUAGCCCCCCCGGGCCAGUGCUUGUCUAAGUGUUGGUCCGAACCGAGCGAUGUUCGACGCCCCCUGGGCAACCAGGGUCUAUGCCAACCCGACGUCUAGCUCAUCCGGUGUGCAGCGAGAACGAGAUAUGUGCAGCUCCUAUCGGGAUUUGUCGGCACAGCGGGAGGCUUUGCUGGUCUUGUUUUACCAUUGUCGAAAUGUCUUGUAAAUCGGGAUUCCGAGUCUGAUCGGGUCUUCCUGGGAGAAGGUCUAUUCCUUCGUUGAUCGCGAGAGCUUGUCAUGGGCUAAGUUGGGACACCCCUGCAGGGUAUAAUCUUUCGAAAGCCGUGCCUACGGGUAUAGGUAGAUGGGAAUUUGUUAAUGUCCGGUUGUAGAUAACUUGACACCAGAUCCGAUUUAAAACGCAUCAACCGCGUGUGUAGCCGUGAUGGUCUCUUCUCGGCGGAGUCCGGGAAGUGAACACGGUUUCUGGGUUAUGUUUGACGUAAGUAGGAGUUCAGGAUCACUUCUUGAUCAUUACUAGUUGAAGACCGUGCCGCUUGUUCUCUUCUCGCUCUUCUUUGCAUAUGUUAGCCACCAUAUAUGCUUAGUCGCUGCUGCAGCCUCACCACUUUACCCCCUUCCUUUCCCUUUAAGCUUUGCUAGUCUUGAUACCCAUGGUAAUGGGAUUAUUGAGUCCUCGUGGCUCACAGAUUACUACAACAACAGUUGCAGGUACAGGUUCAUGCAAUGAUCAUUACGCGAGAGCGAUGCUUGCUUGCGUUGAGUUCUUCUUCUGCUUCUUCUUUGAUCAGGGGAUAGGUUCCAGGUCGGCAGCCUGGGCUAGCAGGGUGGAUGUCAUUUGAGUUUCUGUUUGUGUUUCAUCCGUAGUCGGAUGAUGCUCUGAUGUAUUGUGAUGUUGUAUUCGUGUGGCAUUGUAUGCCUUAUGUAUGUAUCCCCAUCUAUUAUGUAAUGUUGAUGUAAUGAUAUCCACCUUGCAAAAGCGUUUCAAUAUGCGGGUCUAUCCUUGGUGGGACCUUCGAGUUCCUUUUGGAUAGGGUCGCAUAUUGGGCGUGACAAGUUGGUAUCAGAGCCUCGACCGACCCUAGGAGCCCCCUUGAUUGAUCGUGUAGUUUGGUCGUUGUUGAGUCUAGAAGAAAACUAUUUUCGGAGUCUAGUUAUUUCGAAGAGUAGUAAUUCUUUUUACUCCUCAGCCCCUUCGUCGCUCUGGUAAGGAAUCUUGAUGUAGUUGUUUUCAAUUAUUUCUCUUCCCCUUCAAAUUUUUCUUUAGGUUCACGCAGUUUGUUUUCCGGUAGUUGUUCCUCGGCUCUUUUCAUUCGGUGCAUUUCUCGUCAAGUUGACUCGAGCCUCUUCAUCUUUGAGUUCAAUCCUCAGUUGUUUUCUUUUCCCACCCGCCCUCCCUUUUCUUCUUUGAGCCGGAGUCCAUAAUCGAGUAACCAUCCUACUCGUGCGAAGUCUUUGCUUUCUUUCCUCAAUGAUUUCAACCGGUGUUUUCUCGUCAAGAUAUUAGUCGGUUCUCNNNNNNNNNNNNNNNNNNNNNNNNNNNNNNNNNNNNNNNNNNNNNNNNNNNNNNNNNNNNNNNNNNNNNNNNNNNNNNNNNNNNNNNNNNNNNNNNNNNNNNNNNNNNNNNNNNNNNNNNNNNNNNNNNNNNNNNNNNNNNNNNNNNNNNNNNNNNNNNNNNNNNNNNNNNNNNNNNNNNNNNNNNNNNNNNNNNNNNNNNNNNNNNNNNNNNNNNNNNNNNNNNNNNNNNNNNNNNNNNNNNNNNNNNNNNNNNNNNNNNNNNNNNNNNNNNNNNNNNNNNNNNNNNNNNNNNNNNNNNNNNNNNNNNNNNNNNNNNNNNNNNNNNNNNNNNNNNNNNNNNNNNNNNNNNNNNNNNNNNNNNNNNNNNNNNNNNNNNNNNNNNNNNNNNNNNNNNNNNNNCCCUCCCACCCUUUUCUACCCGGAGUUUGACUCUCUCUCGACCAUCUAUUUCAUUCGUGUGGAGCCUCUUCAGUCUUCCCUCAAUUAUUUCAACCGGUGAAUUCUCGUCUCGGUGGACAUUCUUCAUCUCUUUUCCGCUGGAUUCAACUCAAGAUUUUUGGUAGUGAUUAUAUUCUUUCCCUCAGCUCAAGUGUUCUCUUUGCUCGUUUGCCUCUCGCCAGUUUAUCCUUCCGGACUGUUCAAGACACCUCAGGAGAUUCGUCCGUGUUCCAAUUAAUUCGAGGUUGCCACCUCAUUCAAAUAUUUCAAUUGUUCUGGUGCAUCAUCUAUCUGUUCAACAAUCCUUUUCAACGGUGUUCUAUUCUAGUGGGCCCUAACCCACAGGUCUUUUUCCAGGAUCUUACCUGACUCUUCUAAUUUUCCCCGGAGUUAUUCUCAAAUUCUUUUCAAAGUGGGACGUAAGUAUGAUUUCAUCAGUCAGAUACUUCCUCCAAGACUGAUUUCUAAUCAAUUCAUUUUUGGCUCAACCUCUUCGCUUUUCAUUUUCCCGUAGUAUCUCAGUAAUUUUGGUGCUGUUUCUCGUCGUCAUUCGAAGAUCGAAGAAGAGUUUUCCUUUAAAUCUUGUCCGUUCUCUCGAAGAUUCAUGGUUCUAGCUUCAUAUUAUCCUCUCGAAUUAUUCCAUUUGUUAGAUAUUCUUUUCUUACCAUCCGGAGUAUGUCAGAAGUUGUUUCCCCGUUUCGUUUCACCGGAGGCCAUCAUUCCAGUUAUCAUUCGCUAUUUAUCUCGGUGCUUCGUUCAAGUGUUCUUCAAUCAGCUCGUAAUCUCUUCGUUCUUGUGCAUCUAAAUCCCCUCAGGCAUAUUUGAUCGUCCACUUCUUCCCGGUGUUUCAUUCUCUUUCGUCAGUCAUUCCCGAAUUCUAAUGGUGGUUCCUUCAGAUUCUUUUCCUAGGUUAUCAUUUUAAUUCAUUCGUUCUUUCAAUCCUACCGGUGGUUCAUGAAGACCUUCUCAAGUUUGCGAUAUGUCACUUCUCAAUCCUUUUCAAGAAGAAUAAGUAGUAUGCAAAAAUCCAUUGCUUGUCAUCAAUUUAUUUUGAUGAAGGAUAAACAUACAAUAAAUCUUAUUCUUAUUUUAUCCAAGUGAGUGAUUAAUCCUUUCCUUUGGAGUUUGUUCUUGAUGAAUAAAUUCUAAUUCCAAGUGUUUUCAUCUUUUCUUUCCCGGAGUUCAAAUUUCCUCGGCCAUCUCGUCGGAAACCCCAUCUAUAUCAUCGCAAGCUUUAAUCUUAUUCUUUCAUCCUUCAUUUUAUAUCAUCAUCCUUUUGUUACCGGAGUUCUUCAUGGUGGAUCGUCAUGAUUUAAUUCAUUCUUCAAGAGUUCAUCAAGAUUUUGUUGGUGGAGUUCAAGUAUCUUUUCUUCUCGCGUCUCAAAGUGCAAAUAAUUCUUCAUUUUCUUCUGUAGUGAAGUUUUGCCUUUCUUCGUUCUUCCCAGAUAUUCAAAUUCGUUCAUCCUUUCUUCAAAGUUCUUUCCAUUCCAUGCAUUCAAUUCUUCCGGAGGCAUUGCAUUGUUCAUCUCAUCAAGUAUCAUUCCAUUCUAUCAAGCUCUUGUUCUAUUCCUUCCAUUUUGAGCUAGAGUGCUGCCUAAAUCCUUUCAGUCUUAUUCAUUUCUUAUCUCGUUCUAACCGGAGUGCUUUCUUAGGCUAUCUGAUCCAGUGAGCUUUCGAUCCUCGUCAUUCUCGUCUUUCCUCUCUUUUUCUUGAGUGCUCUCGAUUCUUUGCUUCUUCUCAAGUUCUUGCUUCACCUCAUCCCUUUUCCCUUCCGUCUCGGUCCUAAGAUCUCGGGACGAGAUCUCUUGUUAGUGGAGGAGUGUUGUAACGCCCCGAGUCCGAUGCGCCAGGUGUCUGCCAGUUAUUCGCCGUCGUUGCCAUGUCAUUUGCAUGCGUGUUGCAUUUUAUCAUGUCAUCAUGUCCAUUUCAUUUUGCAUACAUGCUCGUCUCAUGCAUCCGAGCCUUUUCCCCGUUGUCCGUUUUGCAAUCCGGUGCUCCUAUGCCCUCAGGCGUUCCCCUUUUCGUCUCCUGUUGUGAGUGGGUGUUAAACUUUCUCGGAAUUGCCCGAGGCUUGCCAAGUGGCCUUGGUAUAGCACCGGUAGACCGCCAGUCAAGUUUCGUGCCAUUUGGAGUUCGUUUGGUACUCCAACGGUUAACCGGGUAACCGCAAAAGCCUCCUUCUCUUUGCAGCCCAACACCCCCUCCAAACUGGCCCAAAACCCAUCUAACUCCCCUCCAUGCUCUCGGUCGUUCGAUCACGAUCGCGUGGCCGAAAACCGCUCCUCAUUUGGACUCUCCUAGCUCCCUCCACCUAUAAAAACGUCUUCCCCUCUCCAUUUUCGGAUGAUUUUCCCCCGAAACCCUAAUUUUCCCCUUCCUCCCGCAGCCGGACACGUCCGCCCGCGCCGGACACGUCCGCGCCGGCCGCCGCAGCCACUCCCCUCGCACCAUGUGUCCUCCGCCGCCGUCCCUGCGCCGUCGGCCCGCGGAGCCCAUCCGGGGCCCGCGCGGGCCCAGAUCCGCCGCCGCCGNNNNNNNNNNNNNNNNNNNNNNNNNNNNNNNNNNNNNNNNNNNNNNNNNNNNNNNNNNNNNNNNNNNNNNNNNNNNNNNNNNNNNNNNNNNNNNNNNNNNNNNNNNNNNNNNNNNNNNNNNNNNNNNNNNNNNNNNNNNNNNNNNNNNNNNNNNNNNNNNNNNNNNNNNNNNNNNNNNNNNNNNNNNNNNNNNNNNNNNNNNNNNNNNNNNNNNNNNNNNNNNNNNNNNNNNNNNNNNNNNNNNNNNNNNNNNNNNNNNNNNNNNNNNNNNNNNNNNNNNNNNNNNNNNNNNNNNNNNNNNNNNNNNNNNNNNNNNNNNNNNNNNNNNNNNNNNNNNNNNNNNNNNNNNNNNNNNNNNNNNNNNNNNNNNNNNNNNNNNNNNNNNNNNNNNNNNNNNNNNNNNNNNNNNNNNNNNNNNNNNNNNNNNNNNNNNNNNNNNNNNNNNNNNNNNNNNCUCCCUCCUCCGCGGCCGCGGUGCCGCGUCCCUCCUCCAGAUCUGGGUCGCUGCCGCCCGAUCCGGCCGGUCCCCGCCAACGGCACCGGCCCCGCACCGCCCCGCUCCUCCGCCACAGCGCCGCCGUCGCCGCUCUGCAGCCCGAUCGCGGAGGUGCCCCAAUUCGGUCGGCCUCCCGUUCGCCCCCGAGUGGACCGGCUUGCUUCGCCGGCCCAGCCCAUCUCUGCCCCGGCCUGCUUCCUCUUCAUGGGCCGAGCCCAGGGUGAGAAACCCCUCUAUUCCCCGCCCGGUCACGUCUUAGUUAUUUUGCGCUCACAUGUUUUUUUCCUGAAAAUGACUAAGUCCCAGAUUUUGUAAUUUUCAUGCCAUGUUCGUCAUGUCGUAUCUCUGCAUCCGUGGCUCCGUUUCGUCCGUGUAAUAUGUCAAAUUGUUCGCCUCGACGAGUACAUAAUUUCUUUCCAUUGCAUCAUAUUCAUUUGAGGUCAUCUAGAUGCCUGAAUCAUCGUUGUAAGAGUGCUUCAUGAUGUUUUCUGCUGUCUGUUAUCAGAACGAGCUCUUUUGUCAUUUUUGCCAUGAUUUAUGUGUGCAUCCUAUGAGGUUGAUGUCUUCAUGUGUUUUGAUCUAUGCUAUGUCUUCUUUACAGAGGUGCUUACCAUGUAUUUUUGUGAUCAAUGUGGUGACUAGCACAAGCAUGCAAACUAGGCAUCGUGAUAUUGCUGAUUUUAGUCCCUGUUCUGCUGUUAUUUUCAUGCCAUGUAAACUUGAUGCUACAGAGAGAUCCAUGCAUAUUUAGAGAUACUUCAGUAAGGGUAUUUUGAACAUAUGGUUAUUGUCUAUCCAUUAAUGCCCUUUGUUGCAAUUAUGGAGUACUCUAGCAUGUCAUUUGAGUGCUCUACUUUUGCUUCAAAAUGUUUCCUGGCAGAUUGUUUACAUGUUAUUCAAUUUGGCCAAGCUUGUUAUAGUUGAUCCUUGCAUGCUAUGGACUUGUUCUUGACUUGGUUUAUUUCACAACCAUGUCUUCUUGAUGAUGCUAUGCUUAUCUUGUAAUGCAAUGACUUGUGGUUAGUGAAUUGAGCUUGUUAAGUAGGGUUCAUGAUGUUGCUGUUUUGCUAGGCUGAAUCUGUCAUUUCGCGAUGCUAUAUAAACCUGUUGCUACUAAUCACCCUAUGCAUAAUCUGGAGAUGUUCUAUAGAUAUGUUUUGAUCUACAUGUCAUCCUCUAUCCAUCCAUGCCCCUGGUUGCAUUUAUAGCUUGCUGUAGCUUGUUCUAAUCUUGCUCUAAAGUUGCUUCAUAAUGUUUCUGUCAGCCUGUUAACAUUAAGUUCCGUUGUUUCCAUGUGUUUUCCUAGUGAUCCAUGCACCCUAUAACCUUGCUAUUGCCAUGCUUAGCUUCACAAACAUGUCUUCUUACUGUUGGGUGCCUUCCCAUGCCAUGUAUUGCUCUGUAGUGAGUUGCACAAGCUCAUCUACAUGCCUUCAUAAUUAUGUUCCUGCCAUGUUUGAAUCUGUAUAAUAACUUGACAUGUUUACGUGGGUGCCAUCAUAUUCUCUGAUCCUUUUUGGCUUAUGGUCAGUAAGGGACUUUUGAUCUAUGAAUUUAGUAGAUUCAUGCCAUGCCUUUGUUUGCCAUGAUAAGUUCCUGUAACAUGUUGUUUGAUAGCUCUAAACAUUGAAUCGUGAUGUUAUUUUCUGCAAAGUCUGAAUUGUUAUAACUUGCAAUCUUACCAUGUGUGUUUGAGCAUGUUCUAGUGAUUUCUGAAGAUAGCUCAGUGUUCAUGUUUUAUAAUACUUUACCUGUACAUCAUGCCCAUGCCUUUUGUUAUUGUGUUGAGAUGCUGUAGCUUGUUGUUUUGAUGCUUGCAAUAUGCCUAGUUGCUGUUUUGGACAGCUUGUCCUUUAAACUUGUAUAGUGUGCAUGUGUUGAACCGUUGCUCCGUUUUGAGUGUGCUAUAUAUGAAACUUGCUUGAUUUUGCUUGUAGUUUCAUAUUAUCAUGUUGCAUCCUUGUUUUGAGGUGUUUGCUUGAUGUUUGUAUGCAUUUUGCAUCAAUGCCAUGUUUUACUUGUUUUGCUCAUAUCUUCUAGGCCGCAGCUCCGAAUCUAAUGAACUUUAUAUGUAACUUGACUAGAAUCUCGUGUAGAUCAUCUUGGUGCAUCUUAACUUGCUGUUUAACAACUUGAACAUAAGAUUUAUUCAGAUCUGGACCAAUUUCGAAAUAUGCAUAUGAGGAUUUACCGGAAUUGUUAUAUGUUGUUCCCGGCCUCAUUUAAACUUGCCUUGAUGUGUUGCUCUUGUUUGCAUCAUCUCUUGCCAUGAGUAAAUUCAUGUAGUUUGGUCAUGCAUCAUGCUUGUUGUGCAUCAUGUCAUGUUCAUGUGUGGUGUGUUUACUAUGAUGUGUGCUUCUUUUCGUUAGUUCCUGUUUCGUUGCGAUCGUGAGGAUUCGUUCGUCUACGGUUGGUUCGGCUUUAUCCGUUCGUCUUCUUCAUGGAUUCGUUCUUCUUCCUUGCAGGAUUUCAGGCAAGAUGGCCGCUACCCUGGAUCUCACUACUAUCAUUGCUAUGCUAGUUGCUUCGUUCUUUCGCUAUGCUGCGCUACCUAUCACCUGUUUAUUCAAGCCAUCCCAAAUUGCCAUGAACCUCUAACCUUUGACACCUUUCCCAUGCAAACCGUUGUUUGGCUAUGUUACCGCUUUUGCUCAGCCCCUCUUAUAGCGUUGCUAGUUGCAGGUGAAGUUGAAGAUUGCUCCAUGGUGGACAGGAUUUUGGUUGGGAUAUCACAAUAUCUCUUAUAUUAUUAAUGCAUCUAUAUACUUGGUAAAGGGUGGAAGACUCGGCCUUUUGCCUAGUGUUUUGUUCCACUCUUGCCGCCCUAGUUUCCGUCAUACCGGUGUUAUGUUCCCGGAUUUUGCGUUCCUUAUGCGGUCGGGUGAUUUAUGGGACCCCCUUGACAGUUCGCUUUGAAUAAAACUCCUCCAGCAAGGCCCAACCUUGGUUUUACCUUUUGCCUCACCACCACCUAUACCUUUCCCUUGGGUCGGCCAACCCGAGGGUCAUCUUUAUUUUAGCCCCCCCCGGGCCAGUGCUUGUCUAAGUGUUGGUCCGAACCGAGCGAUGUCCGGCGCCCCCUGGGCGACCAGGGUCUAUGCCAACCCGACGUCUGGCUCAUCCGGUGUGCCCUGAGAACGAGAUAUGUGCAGCUCCUAUCGGGAUUUGUCGGCACAGCGGGAGGCUUUGCUGGUCUUGUUUUACCAUUGUCGAAAUGUCUUGUAAACCGGGAUUCCGAGUCUAAUCGGGUCUUCCUGGGAGAAGGUCUAUUCCUUCGUUGAUCGUGAGAGCUUGUCAUGGGCUAAGUUGGGACACCCCUGCAGGGUAUGAUCUUUCGAAAGUCGUGCCUGCAGUUAUAGGAAGAUGGGAAUUUGUUAAUGUCCGGUUGUAGAUAACUUGACACUAGAUCCGAUUUAAAACGCAUCAACCGCGUGUGUAGCCGUGAUGGUCUCUUCUCGGCGGAGUCUGGGAAGUGAACAUGGUUUCUGGGUUAUGUUUGACGUAAGUUGGAGUUCAAGAUCACUUCUUGAUCAUUACUAGUUGACGACCGUUCCGCUUGUUCUCUUCUCGCUCUUCUUUGCGUAUGUUAGCCACCAUAUAUGCUUAGUCGCUGCUGCAGCCUCACCACUUUACCCCCUUCCUUUCCCUUUAAGCUUUGCUAGUCUUGAUACCCAUGGUAAUGGGAUUGCUAAGUCCUCGUGGCUCACAGAUUACUACAACAACAGUUGCAGGUACAGGUUCAUGCGAUGAUCAUGACGCGAGAGCGAUGCUUGCUUGCGUUGAGUUCUUCUUCUGCUUCUUCUUCGAUCAGGGGAUAGGUUCAAGGUCGGCAGCCUGGGCUAGCAGGGUGGAUGUUAUUUGAGUUUCUGUUUGUGUUUCAUCCGUAGUCGGAUGAUGCUCUGAUGUAUUGUGAUGUUGUAUUCGUGUGGCAUUGUAUGCCUUAUGUAUGUAUCCCCAUCUAUUAUGUAAUGUUGAUGUAAUGAUAUCCACCUUGCAAAAGCGUUUCAAUAUGUGGGUCUAUCCUUGGUGGGACCUUCGAGUUCCUUUUGGAUAGGGUCGCAUAUUGGGCGUGACAUAAUUAACCUAGGUUUAGCGCUAACUAAUAUUAGUUAGUUAAACAAACUACUGACACGCUGGACCCACCGGUCAGUUUGACCUGGACUGGCUCCUGUUGACCGCUGACAUCACAGUGACGUCAUGCUGACGCAGUUAAUCUUUUUCUGUAUUUAUUCUUAUUCAGGAAAUCUAGAAAUUGCCUAAACUUCUAAAAUUCAUAGAAAUUAAGCCGUAACUCCAAAUGAAAUAAAUUAUAUAUGAAAAAUGAUCAGAAAAAUCCAAUCUAUCCAUCUGUACCAUUUUCAUGCAUGUUAGAACAACUUAUGACUACUGUUUAUGACAAUUCAUUUAAAUGGCAUAUAAUAAAUCACAUAUGGAGAUUGAAUUUGAAUCUUUGAUUCAAACCAACUUCAUUUCAUCUGGUUUUAGUUGCAUCAGCUCAAAUCAUAAGCAUAUUGCCAUGUCAUGAUCAUGCAUCAUAUUGUUGCGUUUCAUUGAUUGUGUUCUUCCUUGUUUGCCGGUAUUUGUCCCCUCUCGGUAGACGAUGUACCAACGAUGAGUUCGAUGACACCGAUGAAGAGCUAUAUCGUCUUCAGAAGUGCCAGGCAAGCUAAACCCCCUUGUUCAUUCUGAUACAAUCCCACUCUCUCGCUCCUGCUCUCUUUUACUGCAUUAGGAUAACAAUGAUUCAACUGUUACUUGUUGCGGUAGCUGAACCCCUUUAUCCUCUGCAUGACCUGUCAUUGCCACAGUAAAUAGAUGAAACCCACUAGCAUGAGUAGGAGUUGUUUGAGCCCUGUUGUGCCUACUCAUUCAUGCUUGUUUGUCAUGCCUGCUACUGCUUAGAGUUGAGUCAGGUCUGAUUCAUCUGGGAUGAAUCAAAGGUGUGUGAACAUGUCCUACUGUGUGUGAACAUGAUUUGGUAAAGGUAGCGGUGAGAGGCCAUGUAGGAGUACAUGGUGGGUUGUCUCAUUGAAGCCAUCCUCAGGAACUGAGUUCUGUGUUUGUGAUCCAUGAACAGUUACUACCACACAUUGGGUUCCGGUAACUCGACCCCUCUCAACUUAUUAAUCAACAUGAUCUCUGUCCAGGAGUUGCAACUAGUUUCAGGUGUUUGUAGGUAGUGAUAGUAGUCUACCAAGUGGCACCUGGUACAGGUGGGCUUGGGACAGACUAGGCACAGUGGCAUGGUGUACCAAGUGGCACCCGGAUGGUGGGCUUGGGAACCCUGCUCACAUCGUUUGGGGCCGUGAGCGACACCCCGGCCGGAUCUCCUUGCGGAUGGAACCCGAAUAGGCGAUAAACCUGGACGAGAGACUUGUGUGGUUAGUCAGGUCGUGGCCAUCUCCCUCGCUAGACUUCCGCUUGAAGGUUGCCGAGAUACACGAGGUGUACAUGGCGAGAGCGUGUGUGAAGAAGUACACCCUUGCAGGGUUAAUAUGAUCUAUUCGAAUAGCCGUGUCCGCGGUAAAGGACUUCUAGGUUGCAUGUACAUUUCAUAGACAAGUGAAAGUGGAUACUCUAAAAUACGCAAGAUAAGCGUGAGUGCUAUGGAUGGCGCUCUCGUGGGGAGACGGGAGCGGAUCCAUAGUGGUGUAUUGAUAUGGUGAAUAUGUGGACUCGUGUGCGCCACCUCAAAAGAGUUACUUGCAGUCGUAGUUCAGGGUAGCCACCGAGUCAAAGCUGGCUUGCUGUAGUUAAACCCCACCAUCCCCUUUGUUGAUAAUGAUGCAUAUGUAGUUAGUUCUGAUGUAAGUCUUGCUGGGUACAUUUGUACUCACGUUUGCCUAUUUUAUGUUUUUGCAGAGAGACUCCGGUCUCGUUAGUAGUUCCGCGUGGACUCCGACGUUUAGCUUAUUACCUCAGCUACGAUCUUGUGCCCUCGUCAGGAUCUAGUAGAUAGCCAGGCUUCUCAGCCUUUUUCAUUUGUAGAUGUCUGUACUCAGACAUGAUAAGCUUCCGCUUGUGCUUGAUUUGUAUGCUCUGAAUGUUGGGUCAUGAGACCCAUGUUUGUAAUAUCUCGCUCCUCGGAGCCUAACGAAUAAAAUACUUGAGUAGUAGAGUCAUGUUGUGAUGCCAUGUUGUAUUUGCACAUAUCGAGCAUAUUGUGUGUAUGUUAUUGAAAUGAUUGGUAUGUGUGGGAUCUGACUAUAUAGUUGUUUAUCCUUAGUAGUCUUUCCUACCGGGAAAUGUCUUCUAGUGCUUCCACUAAGCCAUGGUAGCUUGCUACUGCUCCGGAACACUUAGGCUGGUCGGCAAGUGUCCUUCUUUGUUCCUAUGUCUGUCCCUUCGGGGAAAUGUCAUGCGAUGAAUAUCGGAGUCCUGCUAGCCCAGUGCUACAGCCUGGAUUCACUCGCUGAUGACCGACACAUUCGAUGCUGGGUCAUGGAUGCCUGUCCCUGUAAGUUUGUGCCACUUUGGGUUUACGACUAGCCAUGUGAGCCCGGGCUCCUUAUCAUAUGGAUGCUAGCGACACUAUCAUAUACGUGUGCCAAAAGGCGCAAACGGUCCCGGGCAAAGGUAAAGCGACACCCGUGGGAAUACCGUGCAUGAGGCCGCAAAGUGAUAUGAGGUGUUACAUGCUAGAUCAAUGUAGCAUUGAGUCGGGGUCCUAACAAUGCGCUCCGCAUUCACCCCAAUUCCAUCCUCCACCUGUCCACCUCCGCCUUCUUCUACGCGGUGUUCAUGUGGGUGAUGCCCUCCAUCGCCAUGCUCCGCCAGUUCUUCUUCCUCCGCAUGACUGGUGACCGACCCGCUGGGUGCAUCGGCUUCGUUGCGGCUCGGGGUGGCAACGCGAUCUCCCGCCCCUGGAAGAAGGUGGAGGAUGCCCUGAAGAGGUGGGUCCUAAUGGACGCCAAGUGCUCACGGGACCCGCUGGAGCUGCCGACCGAGCUCCCCUCCUUUGAGAAGGGGUAGCUUUCUGAGAAGAUCACCGACCCUUCACUGAAGCCAUUGAUGAAGAAGAUCGAGGAGGACCUGAAGAAUGAGAAGCUGAUGGGGGCCAUGAUCAUCAAGGAGUUCCUGAUGCGGCGCCUAGCGCCGCUCCAGGAUCGCUCCCGCCCCUUGUGGAAGCUUAAUUAGGGGCACCGACGACAAGAUCCGCUUACGCCAGGAUGCCCUUCCUGAGAAGGAGCUGAGAAAGGUGUUGCUUUACUUGACUGGGAAGGAUCUGAGCGGUCCUCCGGAGGAAUGGCUCCUGUUGUACCACUUAGUCGAUGGGGAGGAGGUUGCUGCUGCCAUGCCAGCCUUUAACGAGUUCGGGCCCGUGCAGACGGGGCCUGCCCCGCCGCCCACCUCCUUGGUGAACCUGUCCUUCGGUGACCAUUCCUCCGAGGCCACUGAGGACGAGGGCGAGGGGAAUCCUCUACCCUGAGGCAGAGGGAGCUCCUCCGCAACUUACCUGACGAUGAUGACGAUGACACGUCUUCGGUGGUGGAGAUGGCUUGCCCCUCCGGGGUCACCAUGAGAUCCGGGGUGGCCUCCUCGAAGCAGCCCAAGCGAUCGGCCGUGAAGAAGGGCAGGACUGCGUUGAUCCCCCGGGUAGUACUCCGCCUUCACCAGCAGCGUCCCAAGUGGUGCCGACCGCGUGCUCUCCUGCUCCCAAGAGUGCAGCUCCAACUGCAUCGACGAAGCCCCCGCUGUUGGUCCUGAAGAGGAACUACAUCUUCUCUAACCAGUGAAUGCUUUCCCUUGAUCUUGUCAUUGAUUCCUGAUGCGAUGCUUAGCGUCUUUAUCCGUUGUUAGGCAACAACCGUCGAAGAAGAAGAAGGAGGGCGCUAGGGUUGCCGUGGUCGAGUGUGUCGAGGUGGCCGCCGCAGCACUGGCGAAGGAGAGAGAUGCGGCCCCUGCAGCUCCAACGGCGAUGUCAUCUUCCUGGGGUGCCGAAGCCCAUCCUCAGGAGGUGCUGGUGUCUUCAGCGGGGCUGACCCCGUCGGCUCCCAUCCUCACUACGGCUACUGAGGCCGCCCGGCCUCCGGAGCCCCCGGUCCUUCCUGCUGUUGUGGUUUCUCCUGCCUUGGCGCCGGGAAUGUCUUCUCUCCUGCCCGGCGCGCAACUGGGCCAUGGCGCUCCUGCCACCUCUGGAGCCCUGGAGGAGGCACGAGCGGUGUUGAACCUUCUCCAAGGUGAACUUUAGGGCCCGGACCGGCGCGCAGCGGUGGGGCGCCUGGGGCUAAUCUCUGGAUGGCUCCAGGCCGACGCAUCUGUCCAAGCGGCCUGGAGCUCUGUGGAGGAGGCCCAGAAGGUGUUUGGGAUGCUGCUGUCGAGCGCGAACUGGCGCGAAAGAAGGCCAUGGAAGCCGAUGAUCGGUGCCACACGGUGGAGGCUAAGCUGAAGGCUCUUCAGGAUCAACAGGCCGCCCAGGCCUGCCAGCUCCAGGAGCGAGAGGAGAAGCAGAAGGCCCAAGAGUCUUUGGUUGCCGAUCGAGAUGCUGAGCUGAAGAAGGCAGCCCUGGAACAGGUUGCGGAGCAUGGCCGCCUGACGAAGCUAAAGGAGGAGGCGGAGGCGGCCCAGGCGGCCCUUGCCGAGGCCAAAGAAGCGUCCAUCAUGGAGCGCAGCACCCUUGCCUCCCUCGAGGCGAGGUUCCACAAGGCUCAACAGUCACUCCUUGGGGAUGAUCCCUUGAAGAAGGCGGCAGUGGUGGCCCCAAGGGAGAGCCCUACUGCCCUGCUCCCUGAGGUCGUGGCAGUGCUCGAGGAUGCCGUCAAUGGGUUUGGCUCUUUGGUGGAAGGUGAGGCUCACUUGCUUUCUUCCUUGGCCUUUACAUGUGUCUUCAGCCAUCUCUAUCUCCGGGACGCCAGCUUCGACUUCGCCACCUUCCUCGAGCCCGUGGACUCUAACUCUCACAGCGCUGCUGCUGACGCUGUGAAGAGCUCCAUGGAUGCCCUACUAAGCAAGUUCCUUGUCGUAGGUCCUCCGGCUGGGGCCGAGGGGACGAGGAACACGCUUGGUGACGAGGCUCCGCUGGCGGGUGAUGGCGAUACCCAGACCUGAAGUGGUGGCUUGGUGAUGCUGCUCCUUCCUGUUCGUCCUAUAUCAUGUAGCAUGCCUCGUGGAGGCGUUUAAAACUGAUUGCUUGGAACAAUAUGUUUUGUAAUAAUUAGAUUGUGGUUCCCCGACUUUUCCCUCUUGCUUUAUUGUUCUGCGCCGGCAGAGCCCGGCCCCGCGCAUACCUCAGUCGCCAUUUGGUCGUCCGGAUUGCCAGGACGAGCCCAAGGGUGAGGGGCUACAUGUCCAGUUAGGCUCCUGAGACGCGAUGCUCAGGAGUCCCCCUUGACGUGCGAAUAGCUUAGGAAAAAGUGCGAAGGCAAGCCUUAGCGUUCUGCAUUGACCGGGCCCGGCCCCGCGCAUACCUCAACCGUCGUUGGGUCAUUCAGAUCACCAGGACAAGACCAAGGGGUGAGGGUCUACGUGGCCAGUUAGGCUCCGCGGUGCUCAGGAGGCCCCCUUGAUGUACGAACAGCUUGAAAAGGACGAGAGUCAGGCCUUGGCUUUCUGCAUCGGCAAGACCUGGCCCCGCGCAUACCUCAGCCACCGUUAGGUCGUCCGGAUCACCAGGACGAGGCCAAGGGGUGAGGGGCUACAUGGCCAGCUAGGCUCCUAAGACGCGAUGCUCAGGAGUCCUCCUUGACGUAUGAACUGACCAUCAUACCUUUCCUCGCCGGGCUCUCGCUUGGGAGGGGCGCGCGAAGACCAGGCCUGUGGGACAUGGCGAGGUGGGGUACGUCAGGCGUGACCUGAGCGUAUCCCCCAUGCCUAGACCCCUCGCGCUACCCUCCCAAGGGAGAGCAGUGCGGUGAGGCUGGUCACUGAGCCCGGAAGCUCCCUGAGGUUAAUGCAGCCGUGAUUCCACCCCCAGUUGUUUAUCACCAGCGCGGAGCAUAGGGCUUACGCUCUUGCAUGGGCAUAGCCGCUCCUCGGCAGUGUCGACGGCCAGCAUGGACCAUGGUGCUUCCACUGGUGUUUGGGAGGGGCCUCCCUCUAUGGAGAGCCCCGGGGGCGUGUAUAGCCGCGCCGUGACAUGUGGCUUGCACGACAGGGCUGGAGAAGGUGUGUAUGGAAACACGUGAGCCAGCACGGGACUCACGAGGCCCUACCUCAAGGCAGGUUGUGCCUGAGCUUGAUUGGGAGAACUUAUAUUAGUCCUACAACAUGGGUAGGCAACCUGCACCGACUGCGUCUCCUGAGGUUAUUGCAUGAGAAGGCCAGACACCAAUGACCCCAGGAGGUGAUGUGAACGGGGCCGACCCGCCAGACAGAGCACAAUCGUUGGGUUUAUCGACACUGCAUGGACGGACCCGAGCACCUACGCCAUGCCCAGUCUUCUCAUGCAAAGAUCAUGAAGAAAAACAACCGGCGCCCGGUUCCCAUGGCCAAGGGGGCACCAGGUCGCGCGCCCUCACUCAUCCGCCCGCGAUUAGCUCAUGCGAGAAAAAGGCACCAAGGGCCUUGGGAGGUGAUGUACACGGGGACUAGCCCGCGAGCCAGAGCUCAGCCUCUUGGAUUUAGCGACGCUGCAGGGAUGGACCCAAGCAUAGAGGCCAUGCCAGUCCUUAAUCAUGAGGCGGUCGCGGGAGGGCUCGCAAGGGCGCGAGACGUUCUUAGCGACGAAACGCCGGUCAGGCAGUUGAUAAUCUUAAGGUAGCUUGUAAAGGAAGGUAAACUAGCUCUAAUAGAUGCAAAAGGGAUACAUGCCGCAAGACGGACCCAUGCGGCUUGGGGAUGAUGCAGCCUGUGGGGCGCCCCCAAACGGAACGAACUAGAGAGAUGUCACCUGGUACCGUCGCUGAAGAGAUGUUGAGGUAGCAGAAGACGCGCGCUGCUGGAGCCCUUCCUCACGAGCCGCCCUGGCCCCGAGCCUCAAGAGGCAUGGGAGGCCCGGGAGGCUCCUGAAGAUGCGCCUCCAUCUCUGCCAGGGUCGCCUGGUGCCUGGCCAAUCGAGCCGCCAGAGCGUCCCUUGUGCAGCGCAGGAACGCCACUGCUACACCUGUGAGGCCGAAAGGCAUGCGAUGUAGCUAUGGGGUGGACCCUCGCAUUGACCGACACGAGACGGCCAGAAGAGUUGUCGAGAUGCGGCCCUACUGAGCCCUGGGAUGUCGAUGCAAACGCGGAACUCCUUACCCUCGCCAAAGUAGUGAGCUAUGCCUCACGGUAGGCGGCGAUCGCCUUGUAGAACCCUUGCCUCUUGAAUCUCCUCAAUUGCCUUGCUGAUGAACUCCUGAAUGCCUUUCUCCUAACGCCUUCUCCUGGGAAGCGUGCGCUAAAGCGCGCCUCCACAUGGUGCCCAAGUGCCUCCCUCGUGACUCUGGCUAGGUCUGAGGCCCUCCCGAGGAGAGCCCCCGAGCCCAGCCUGAGAGGGGCACCGAGCGCGCCUUCCUAUGCGAUAGGUGAAGGUGCCUCGUCCAUGGACGAGAGGCUCAGCGCGGCAUCCUCGGGCGAUGCUUCCUUGCGAGAUCCCUAACCUAGCUGCAGCUUCUUCGUCUUGGGGGUGACCUUAGGAAGGGGGACACCGCCCUCAUCCUUAGGGUUCUCGACUGCUGUACACUACAAGAAAUAUGUCAACUUGCGACCAUCACUAUUGGUCACUGAAAGGUCAUUGUUUUUCAUUUGCGACCUUUUUGCGACCAAAAACAGAUGGUCAAAAGUUGGCGGUCAUAAACUGAAAUUAGUGACCUUCUUUGUGAUAUGUAAAAGGUCGUUGGUUCCACGACCAAACUUUUGGUCACUAGCAACCUCCCCAGGCCACAUAGGCAUCCAACAUGGCAAGCUGAUGUGGCACAAGAAUCAGCGUGGUCCAAUUCGGUUUUCUACAUGGGCCUAGCCCAUUAAUUCAGCCUUUCUAUAUAUAUAUUUUUGUCAAUUUUUGGUCGACUUCAUGGGCCUGGACCAACAUUGCAGCCUUUUUUAUUAUUGCACCUUGGCCUUUUCGUGUAAAUAAUUUUAAUUUCCUUUUAUUAUUAAAUGGGUCCACCAGUCCGAUGGGUACCAGUUGUCAGGUUUGGGUUUGGUAAGUGAGUCCCAUCUAUCAGGCUCAUAUUCUUCAUAUUUCAACUUGUAUUUAACUUGGCAGACAAAAGCACACAUGAUACUUCAAAUAAGAGCAACCAGAUCACAUCGCCAAUACAUAUGACCAUGUGUAAUACAUUACUUUACAAGAUCUACAUGUGUAACGAGCUCUACAAGUGUGAUACAAUACUGCUUUACAAGAAAAUGAUGACAUGCCGGACUCGCUGGAAAACCAUAGUCAAGGCUGGGAACAAACAAAAUGGCAACAUGGCUUCCUCUGUCACCCUGUUACAUGAAUGAGAGAAAAAUUAGAAAAAUUGAGGCAAAUAUAUUAUGAACAGACCAUUCAAGAAAAUGACAUUUAUUUAGAAUGAUAACACAAAUUGAGCUAGCUAGUACCAUGCUGUUUGUUCUCCAACUAGUUAAAAUGAGAUACCCACUCAUACAAGAAAACAGAUACACAGUGGAAGAGAUACCAAAACAGAUACACAAGUUUUUUUGACACCUGAAAUAGUAGGAGAGACUCCUACUGUGUAUAUUAAUUAGAGUAUCAAAAAGUUCUUACAGAUUCAUAACCUUACAUCCAUGGCCAUGAGAUAUAACAAAGUGUUAGGUGGGUGAGUAAGGUAAAGGACUACCCUACGGAUGUACAAAGUUCUCUAGGAAGGAGGGAACAAACCCUCUGUGUCUCUCCUUGUCUCUAUGUAUAAGGAGAGAGAAGUCAUCUUUGAACCUUCUUGCCCAUGAGCUGAUACUAGGAUCAAUACCUCGGAAAUGUUUAUUAUUUCUCUCCUUCCACUGGCUCCAAGAGGCAUAUAGGAAUAUCUCCAUGAACAUAGGGUUGUUUCAAACAUAUUUGGCUUCUUGGAUCCAAAGCAAUCUAUGUCCAUGUGAAGCCCAUUGGAUAUGCAAAGUGUCCCAACAUGCCUUGCUGAAUGGGCAGUGGAAGAUCAUAUGAUCAAGAGUUCCCUCAUCAUUGCUACCGCACAGAAUGCACCCAUAGUUGUCUCCAAUAUUGUAACUUCUUCUCUUGAGCAUAUUUCUUGUGUUAAGACGGUCAAAGAGAAGUAACCACCCAAAAACCUUGAUUUUCAUUAUGGCCGAGGAUUUCUAGAGCCAUUUGUAAGAUUUGUGAGCUGUCACAUCCCGAAAGUAGAAUUUGUAGUAAUUUUUGGCUGUGUAAACGUCGGAUCCCCAGGCAUAGCAGCACUGGUCCCUCUCAACCGCAUCUGUUUGGUUACCAACAUGUGUUGUGGUUUCCUAGAUAUGUCUCAUGUAAUGCCCGGAUAAUUAAACUACAGUAACUCCACACUAAUGAUGCCAAUCAUCACUAUUAUGCCCUAAGAAAAACAAUUAAGCAAUAUUUCAACCCCAAAUUCAAAAUUUAAAAUAAAGUCAAAAUAUUAUUUCUUCAAACCGUAAAACAAAAAUGUUGGAAGUAUUCCAUAAAAUCCCCGAGUAUUUCCCUUGUAGAAAUCAAAACCAUUUGGUUUACUCCCUCGUUCCAUCUAUAUAGGGCCUAAUGUGUUUUUCAAAGUUAACUUUGACUAAAUGUUAAAGCAAUAAUAUAUGACAUGCAACUUACACAAGGCAUACCGUCAAAUUCGUAUGUGAAAGGAGCUACCAAUGAUAUAUUUUUCACAUUAUACAUAUCAUGUACUAUUAAUCUUGUCAAUAGUCAAAGGCGGUCUUGAAAAACGCCUUAGGCCUUAUAUAGAUCGAAGGAGGGAGUACAAAAUUUGACUAUAGCAUUUUUUGUGUGGACCAGCAACCUCUAAGUUGGUCAAUAAAAUUUAAACACAAAAUCAAAGAAUUGCGAAUACCCUCAAACUUUUGUACAACCCUAGAUUAUUGCAUAUCAUUUUUGCGCAAAGUUUCAUAUUUAGAAAAACUCAUUGAACACUAAACUUUUUAGAGAACAGUAGCUACUUGUUAUUUUAGCAAAAGAAAAUAGGAAAGGUUCCUAUGCACUUUGGCCCGUUAGAAAUAGUAGCGGCCCAGCCCACCGCGGUCACCCUCAAUCUCCUGUUCCCCCUCGCUCGCUGUCCUCUACGCGCACGUGCCCGAGGCUGGUCGCCGUCUCCACCGCACCCACUCGCCCCCUCGCGUCGCUACAGUACCACCGAGGCAGAUAAGGCUGUCCCCGCGCCCCCUCGACAAACCCUAUCCAUUCCCUUCCUCCUUGCUGGAUCUCUUCCCUCCUCUGUCGCCCGAACGCCAUCGCCAUGUCGUUGCCGUCCUCGUGGCCACAAGCCUCCCCGGCGCUCGGGAGGAAGUGGAGGAGCACCGCCGUCCUCUUCUGCACCGUCUUCAAGCGCUAGGUCGAGCCGGAGCGCCUCGCGACGUCCCAUCGGCCUUCUUCCCCAACCACGGCCGUCGUCGUCCACCUCGUCGAUCCGUCACCCCGGUCCACCUCCGUCCUCCCGGACCUCGUCAUCGAGUUUGCAGUGAGCAUCUCCUCCGAUUCCCUUCAUUUCCCCUUCGAUCCAUCGCCGUAUGUCGUUGUCCCAAGGCCAUGGCCGGAGCUUCGGUUUCGCGUACGCGUACGUGUUGCUGUUGCUUGCUGCGUUCAUCUACCGCGCCUGCUGUUGCUAUUGUGCCGCUGCAGUUGCUCGGCCUGCUAGUGCUGCUGCUAGGCGCUGCUGCUGCUAUGCGUUGCCGCUGCUCUCUACUCUUCUGCAUCUUGCCGCUGCGCUGCUGCUUUCGGUUGGCCAUGGCCAAGGCCAUGGCCGAGUAUGGCAUGUGCUUUUUUUGAGAAGAUAGUAUGGCGUGUGCUAUGUGUGCGUGUGUGUGCAGAGCCUCAUGGCUGGAUGUGCCACCAUGCUGGCCCAAAAUCAAUUAGGGGCUAAUUAGUACUAACCAACAACCCCAUUAAUUAGGGGUCGCGCUAACUGCCACACGUGUGGCAGGAAGGAAGACGCACCACACGUCUCUAAUGUAAACAGAUUGCCACGUCAUCGCAUGCAUGCAUGCAGGAAUCUUUUUGGAUUUUCAGUUUUUAAAAUGUUUUACCUCUUAAACGAAAAAUCCGAUUGAAAAUCCGUUUCACCAUUAAAUCCCUCGCAAUGAGAUCUUCGAAACUAGAUCCCAUGUUGAUAUGUUUUGAUGAAAACUUUUUUGGAUUAAAAGUUGCCAUGUCUAUUGCAUAUGAAUUGCCAUGAUGUUUACACUGAAGUUGCCAUGAUAUGUUUCAGCUAUUUUCUUCUACAUUUAAAAGUAAAUUUUGACAUUUAUAAAACGGGGAAUUAAGAAACUAGACUUGCCAUAAACCAUAAACUAAAAUUGCCAUGAUACAUGCACGUAAAAUUGCCAUGGUUCAUACAAAAAAUAAUUUUCAUGGUCAAAGUACUGGAGUUGCCAUCAUCAAAAUACUAAAAUUGCCAUGAUCUACAAACUAAAAUUGCCACAUGGCAACUUUAGUUUAAGCCCUAUGGCAACUGCAGUAUAAACAUCAUGGCAACUUCUGGCAAAAAAAUCGUUGAAACAUAUCAACAUGGGGUCUAGUUUGAAGAUCUCGUCGAGAUGGAUUUAAUGGUGAAAACGGAUUUUUAGUUCGCUUUUUUAUAUAUGAGAUACAACAUUUUUAAGCCGAAAACCAAAAAAAUUCUGCUGAUGUCAUCUAUUCAUACGUGGCAAAAUGAGUGGUGAUGGAGGCGUGUGGGUGAUGUGCAAACGCCCACACGUGUGGGCGUUAACAUUUCUGUUAAUUAGUCACUAACAACAGGGCCCACAACCAGUUAGUUUACUUAAAAAAACAAUCUGUUAUUCAAAAGUCUCACUGACACAUGGGUCCCACUGUUCUUUUGACCAGUCAAACCUGCUGACUUGGCAGUCCCAGUCAGUGACAGUGGGACCCCAGCGCCCCUUGACCAGUCAAUGUUGACCCAGUCAACUGCUGAUUGGGUCCAUAUGUCAAUCUCUACUGCUGACUGGGCAUUUUUAUUUCAUUUUCGUAUUAAAUAAAUUUCAGAAAUUAAAUAAAACUUUGAAAAUUCAUAUAAAAUAAACCGUAACUCCGAUGGAAAUAAUUUAUAUAUGAAAGUUGCUCAAAAAAUACAAUGAAUCCGAAUACGCAACCCGUUCGCUCACCACACGUCCCUAGCAUAGCGAAUGUGCAACAAUGCCCCUCUGAUACGUUUGUCCGAAAACGCGAAACACCGGGAAUACCUUCCCGGGUGUUUCCACACUUCGCUGGUGUCACCUACUAUUGUGUUAGGUCACCUCUAGCACCGCGUAUUGCCCUGUUACAUUUUGUGAUGCUUUGAUUGCUCUGUUAUUUAUUGUGUUCCCCCUCCAUUACUUCUUUCUGGUAGACCCCGAGACUGCCGGUGACCCCCAGUUCGACUACGGUGUUGACGACCCCUCCUUCUCGCCAGAGCAACCAGGCAAGCCCCCCCCCCUUUGAUCACCAGAUAUCGCUUAUUCUACCCUCUACUGCUUGCAUUAGAAUAGUGUAGCAUGUUACUUUUUCGAUUAAUCCUAUUCUGUUGCAUAGCCUGUCAUUGUUGCUACAUCUGUUGAUACGUUACCUGCAAUCCUAAAUGCUUAGUAUAGGAUGCUAGUUUACCAUUAGUGGCCCUAAAUUCUUGUCAGUCUGCCAUGCUAUACUAUCGGGCCGUGAUCACUCGGGAGGUGAUCACGGGUAUAUACUAUACAUACAUAUACUAUACAGAUGAUGACUAAAGUCGGGUCAGCUCGUUGAGUACCCGCAAGUGAUUCCGAUGUGGGGGCUGGAAGGACAGGUGGCUCCAUCCCGGUAGAGGUGGGCCUGGGUUCCCGACGCCCCCCGACUGUUACUUUGUGGUGGAGCGACAGGGCAGGUUGAGACCUCCUAGGCGAGAGGUGGUCCUGGCCCUGGUCGGCGUUCGCGUUUACUUCAUAAUAACACACUUAACGAGAUCUUGGUAUUUGAUCUGAGUCUGGCCACUGGCCUAUACACACUAACCAACUACACGGGAACAGUUAUGGGCACUCGGCAUCGUGGUAUUAGCCGAAGCCUUCUUGACAUCAGCGACUGAGCGGCGCGCGCCGGAUUGGACCGUAAGCCUGCUCUUGUAUUAAGGGGGCUAGUUCUGCUUCCGGCCGCGUACGCAACGUGCAGUUGUGCAAUGGGCGAUGGGCCCAGACCACUGAACGCAUAGGAUUUAGACCAGCGUGUUGACCUCUCUGUUGAGCCUAGGUAGGGCUGCGGCGUGUUGAUCUUACGAGGCCGGGCAUGACCCAGAAAUGUGUGUCCGGCCAAAGGGGAUCGAGUGUGUUGGAUUAUGUGGUGCACCCCUGCAGGGAAGUUUAUUUAUUCGAAUAGCCAUGUCCCUCGGUAAAAGGAUGACUCAGAGUUGUACCUUGACCUUAUGACAACUAAAACCGGAAUUUAAUAAAACACACCCAGACAAGUUCCACAGACAACCCGGUGAUUACUUUUCCACAGGGCGACGAGGGAAGGAUCACCAGGUAGGAUUAUGCUAUACGAUGCUACUUGGAAGACUUCAAUCUACUCUCUUCUACAUGCAGCAAGACGGAGGCUGCCAGAAGCGUAGUCUUUGAUAGGGCUAGCUAUCCCCCUCUUAUUCUGGCAUUCUGCAGUUCAGUCCACCGAAAUUGCCUCUUUACACAUAUACCCAUGCAUAUGUAGUGUAGAUCCUUGCUUGUGAGUACUUUGGAUGAGUACUCACGGUUGCUUUUCUCCCUCUUUUCCCCUUUCCUUUUUACCUGGUUGUCGCAACCAGAUGUUGGAGCCUCGGAGCUAGACGCCACCAUCGACGAUGACCCUUACUACACCAGGGUGCCUACUACUGCGUGCAGGCCGCUGACGACGACCAGGAGUAGUUUAGGAGGAUCCCAGGCAGGAGGCCUGCGCCUCAUUCGAUCUGUAUCCCAGUUUGUGCUAGCCAUCUUAUGGCAACUUGUUAACUUAUGUCUGUACUCAGAUAUUGUUGCUUCCGCUGACUCGUUUAUGUUCCUUUCGAUUGUUAGAGAGGUAUCUCUGGGCCCUCUCGAUAAUGCACAUCACUAUAAGCCGUGCAAGCAAUGUAGCUAAUGAGUUAGUUACGGAAUGAUGCAUUACGUAAUGAGUAAAGAGACUUGCCGGUAACGAGAUUGAACUAGGUAUUGAGAUACCGACGAUCGAAUCUCGGGCAAGUAACAUACCGAUGAAAAAGGGAACAACGUAUGUUGUUAUGCGGUUUGACUAAUAAAGAUCUUCGUAGAAGAUGUAGGAGCCAAUAUGAGCAUCGAGGCUCCGCUAUUGGUUAUUGACCAGAAAUAGUUCUAGGUCAUGUCUAUAUAGUUCUCGAACCCAUAGGGUCCGCACGCUUAAGGUUUCGUUGAUAGUUUUAUUAUGAGUUUAUGAGUUUUGAUGUACCGAAGGUUGUUCAGAGUCCCGGAUGUGUUGGGUAAUGUAGUAAUUUCAAAAUUUUCUUACGCACACGCAAGAUCACGGUGAUGCAUAGCAACGAGAGGGGGAGUGUAUCUUCAUACCCUUGAAGAUCGCUAAGCGGAAGCGUUUAUCAACGUGGUUGAUGUAGUCGUACGUCUUCACGAUCCGACCAAUCCAAGUACCAAACACACGGCACCUCCGAGUUCUGCACACGUUCAGCUCGAUGACGUCCUUGCCUUCUCGAUCCAGCAAGACGGGCGAAGUAGUAGAUGAGUUCUGGCAGCAUGACGGCGUGGUGAUGGUGUCGGUGAAGAACAAUCUUCGCAGGGCUUCGCCUAAGCACUACAGAAACUAUGAUGGAGGAUAAACUAGAGGGGACGGGGUUGCCGGCACACGGCUUGGUGUUUCUUGAUCUGUCUAUGGUGCUAGCCCUGCCCCUCUAUUUAUAUGUUGAGCAUUGGGGUUGAAACUUGGAGUAAAAGUCUCCACAAAGUCGGUUUCACCCGAAAGGCAAGAGUCCUUCUCGGACUCCAGGGCCAGACGCCAGGGUUCCCGGCGUCUGGACCCAGACGCCAGGGACCCUGGCGUCUGGCCCCUGGACUCCGCAAAACUUCCUUUUGCGCUUUCCAAAAACCUUGUGGGCUUUCCCCUUUGGCCCAAAUAACGUGUUCUCGUACCCAAACAUUUCGAGAAACAUCCGGAACCCCUUCCGGUGAAUUCCAGAACCCUUCCGGAGAUCAAACACUAUUAUCCCAUAUAUCAAACUUUAUCUCCGGACCAUUCCGGAGUUCCUCGUCAUGUCCAUGAUCUCAUCCGGGACUCCGAACAACAUUCGGUUACCAACAUACAUAACUCAUAUAAUACUAUACCGUUAACGAAACGUUAAGUGUGCGGACCCUACGGGUUUGAGAACUAUGUAGACAAGACCUAGAACUGUUUCCGGUUAAUAACCAAUAGCGGAACUUGGAUGCUCAUAUUGGCUCCUACAUAUUCUACGAAGAUCUUUAUCGGUCAAACCGCAUAACAACAUACGUUGUUCCCUUUGUCAUCGGUAUGUUACUUGCCCGAGAUUCGAUCGUCAGUAUCUCAAUACCUAGUUCAAUCUCGUUACCGGCAAGUCUCUUUACUCGUUAUGUAAUGCAUCAUUCCGUAACUAACUCAUUAGCUACAUUGCUUGCAAGGCUUAUAGUGAUGUGCAUUACCGAGAGGGCCCAGAGAUACCUCUCCGACAAUCGGAGUGACAAAACCUAAUCUCGAAAUACGCCAACCCAACAUGUACCUUUGGAGACACCUGUAGAGCUCCUUUAUAAUCACCCAGUUACGUUGUGACGUUUGGUAGCACACAAAGUGUUCUUCCAGUAAAUGGGAGUUGCAUAAUCUCAUAGUUACAGGAACAUGUAUAAGUCAUGAAAAAAGCAAUAGCAAUACACUAAACGAUCAAGUGCUAGGCUAACGGAAUGGGUCAUGUCAAUCAAAUCAUUCUCCUAAUGAUGUGAUCCCGUUAAUCAAAUGACAACACAUGUCUAUGGUUAGGAAACAUAACCAUCUUUGAUUAAUGAGCUAGUCAUGUAGAGGUAUACUAGUGACAUUAUGUUUGUUUAUGUAUUCACACAUGCAUCAUGUUUCCGGUUAAUACAAUUCUAGUAUGAAUAAUAAACAUUUAUCAUGUUAUGAGGAAAUAAAUAAUAACUUUAUUAUAUUGCCUCUAGGGCAUAUUUCCUUCAGUCUCCCACUUGCACUAGAAUCAAUAAUCUAGAUUACACAGUAAUGAUUCUAACACCCAUGGAGUCUUCGUGCUGAUCAUGUUUUGCUUGUGGAAGAGGCUUAGUCAAUGGGUCUGCAACAUUCAGAUCCGUAUGUAUCUUGCAAAUCUCUAUGUCUCCCACCUGGACUUGGUCCCGGAUGGAAUUGAAGCGUCUCUUGAUGUGCUUGGUCCUCUUGUGAAAUCUGGAUUCCUUUGCCAAGGCAAUUGCACCAGUAUUGUCACAGAAGAUCUUCAUUGGUCCCGAUGCACUAGGUAUGACACCUAGAUCGGAAAUGAAUUCCUUCAUCCAGACUCCUUCAUUUGUUGCUUCCUAAGCAGCUAUGUACUCCGCUUCACAUGUAGAUCCCGCCACGACGCUUUGUUUAGAACUGCACCAACUUACAGCUCCACCGUUUAAUAAAAACACGUAUCCGGUUUGCGAUUUAGAAUCGUCCGGAUCAGUGUCAAAGCUUGCAUCGACAUAACCAUUUACGACUAGCUCUUUGUCACCUCCAUAUACGAGAAACAUAUCCUUAGUCCUUUUCAGGUAUUUCAGGAUGUUCUUGACCGCCAUCCUGUGAUCCACUCCUGGAUUACUUUGGUACCUUCUUGCCAAGCUUAUUGCUAAGCAUACGUCAGGUCUGGUACACAGCAUUGCAUACAUGAUAGAGCCAAUGGCUGAAGCAUAGGGAACAUCUUUCAUUUUCUCUCUAUCUUCUGCAGUGGUCGGGCAUUGAGUCUGACUCAACUUCACACCUUGUAAUACAGGCAAGAAUCCUUUCUUUGCCUGAUCCAUUUUGAACCUUUUCAAAACUUUAUCAAGGUAUGUGCUUUGUGAAAGUCCAAUUAAGCGUCUUGAUCUAUCUCUAUAGAUCUUAAUGCCCAAUAUGUAAGCAGCUCACCGAGGUCUAUUCAGAAAUUCUAUUUCAUUUCCAAUUAAUAAUAUAUCAUCUACAUAUAAUAUCAGAAAUGCUACAGAGCUCCCACUCACUUUCUUGUAAAUACAGGCUUCUCCAUAAGUAUGUAUAAAACCAUAUGCUUUGAUCACACUAUCAAAGCGUUUGUUCCAACUCCGAGAUGGUUGCACCAGUCCAUAAAUGGAUCGCUGGAGUUUGCACACUUUGUUAGCACCUUUUGGAUCAACAAAACCUUCUGGUUGCAUCAUAUACAACUCUUCUUCCAAGAAAUCCAUUCAAGAAUGCAGUUUUGACAUCAAUUUGCCAAAUUUCAUAAUCAUAAAAUGCAGCAAUUGCUAACAUGAUUCGGAUAGACUUAAGCAUCGCUAUGGGUGAGAAAGUCUCAUCGUAGUCAACCCCUUGAACUUCUCGAAAACCUUUCGCAACAAGUCGAGCUUUAUAGACAGUUACUUUACCAUCAGCGUUAGUCUUCUUCUUAAAGAUCCAUUUAUUCUCAAUGGCUUGCCGAUCAUUGGGCAAGUCAACCAAAGUCCAUACUUUGUUCUCAUACAUGGAUCCCAUCUCAGAUUUCAUGGCUUCUAGCCAUUUUGCGGAAUCUGGGCUCAUCAUCGCUUCCUCAUAGUUCGUAGGUUCGUCAUGGUCAAGUAACAUGAAUUCCAGAAUAGGAUUACUGUACCACUCUUGUGCGGAUCUUACUCUGGUAGACCUACGAGGUUCAGUAGAAACUUGAUCUGAAGUUUCAUGAUCAAUAUCAUUGGCUUCCUCACUAAUUGGUGUAGUUGUCACAGGAACCGGUUCUUGUGAUGAACUACUUUCCAAUAAGGGAGUAGGUACAGUUACCUCAUCAAGUUCUACUUUCCUCCCACUCACUUCUUUUGAGAGAAACUCCUUCUCUAGAAAGGAUCCGAAUUUAGCAACGAAAAUCUUGCCUUCAGAUCUGUGAUAGAAUGUGUACCCAACAGUCUCUUUUGGGUAUCCUAUGAAGACACAUUUCUCCGAUUUGGGUUCGAGGUUAUCUGGUUGAAGUUUCUUCACAUAAGCAUCGCAGCCCCAAACUUUAAGAAAUGACAACUUUGGUUUCUUGCCAAACCACAGUUCAUGAGGUGUCGCCUCAACGGAUUUUGAUGGUGCCCUAUUUAACGUGAAUGCGGCCGUCUCUAAAGCAUAACCCCAAAACGACAGCGGUAAAUCAGUAAGAGACAUCAUAUAUCGCACCAUAUCUAGUAAAGUACGAUUACAACGUUCGGACACACCAUUUCGUUGUGGUGUUCCGGGUGGCGUGAGUUGCGAAACUAUUCCGCAUUGUUUCAAAUGUAAGCCAAACUUGUAACUCAAAUAUUCUCCUCCACGAUCAGAUCGUAGAAAUUUUAUUUUCUUGUUACGAUGAUUUUCCACUUCACUCUGAAAUUCUUUGAACUUUUCAAAUGUUUCAGACUUGUGUUUCAUUAAGUAGAUAUACCCAUAUCUGCUCAAAUCAUCUGUGAAGGUGAGAAAAUAACGAUACACGCCGCGAGCCUCAACAUUCAUUGGACCACAAACAUCAGUAUGUAUGAUUUCCAACAAAUCAGUUGCUCGCUCCAUAGUUCCGGAGAAUGGCGUUUUAGUAAUCUUGUCCAUGAGGCACGGUUCGCAAGUACCAAGUGAGUCAUAAUCAAGUUAUUCCGAAAGUCCAUCAGUAUGGAGUUUCCUCAUGCGCUUUAUACCGAUAUGACCUAAAUGGCAGUGCCACAAAUAAGUUGCACUAUCAUUAUCAACUCUGCAUCUUUUGGUUUCAACACUAUGAAUAUGUGUAUCACUACUAUCGAGAUUCAAUAAAAAUAGACCACUCUUCAAGGGUGCAUAACCAUAAAAGAUAUUACUCAUAUAAAUAGAAUAACCAUUAUUCUCUGAUUUAAAUGAAUAACCGUCUCGCAUCAAACAAGAUCCAGAUAUAAUGUUCAUGCUUAACGCUGGCACCUAAUAACAAUUAUUUAGGUCUAAAACUAAUCCUGAUGGUAGAUGUAGAGGUAGCGUGCCGACCGCGAUCACAUCGACUUUGGAACCAUUUCCCACGCGCAUCGUCACCUCGUCCUUAGCCAAUCUUCGCUUAAUCCGUAGUUCCUGUUUCGAGUUGCAAAUAUUAGCAACAGAACCAGUAUCAAAUACCCAGGUACUACUGCGAGAAUUACUAAGGUAUACAUCAAUAACAUGUAUAUCACAUAUACCAUUGUUCACUUUGCCAUCCUUCUUAUCCGCCAAAUACUUGUGGCAGUUCAGCUUCCAGUGUUCAGUCUGCUUGCAGUAGAAGCACUCAGUCUCAGGCUUAGGACCAGACUUGGGUUUCUUCUCUUGAGCAGCAACUUGUUUGCUGUUCUUCUUGAAGUCCCCCUUGUUCUUCCCUUUGCCCUUUUUCUUGAAACUGGUGGUCUUGUUGACCAUCAACACUUGAUGCUCCUUUUUGAUUUCUACCUCCGCAGCUUUCAGCAUUGCGAAGAGCUCGGGAAUAGUCUUGUCCAUCCCUUGCAUAUUAUAGUUCAACACGAAGCUCUUGUAGCUUGGUGGUAGUGAUUGAAGAAUUCUGUCAAUGACACUAUCAUCAGGAAGAUUAACUCCCAGUUGAAUCAAGUGAUUAUUAUACCCAGACAUUUUGAGUAUGUGUUCACUGACAGAACUAUUCUCCUCCAUCUUGCAGCUAUAGAACUUAUUGGAGACUUCAUAUCUCUCAAUCCGGGCAUUUCCUUGAAAUAUUAACUUCAACUCCUGGAACAUCUCAUAUGCUCCAUGACGUUCAAAACAUCGUUGAAGACCCGGUUCUAAGUCCUAAAUCAUGGCACACUGAACUAUUGAGUAGUCAUCAGCUUUGCUCUGCCAGACGUUCUUAACGUCAUCAGUUGCAUCAGCAGCAGGCCUGGCACCCAGCGGUGCUUCCAGGACGUAAUUCUUCUGUGCAGCAAUGAGGAUAAUCCUCAGGUUACGGACCCAGUCCGUGUAAUUGCUACCAUCAUCUUUCAACUUUGCUUUCUCAAGGAACGCAUUAAAAUUCAACGGAACAACAUCACGAGCCAUCUAUCUACAACAAACAUAGACAAGCAAAAUACUACCAGGUACUAAGUUCAUGAUAAAUUUAAGUUCAAUUAAUCAUAUUACUUAAGAACUCCCAAUUAGACAGACAUCUCUCUAGUCAUCUAAGUGAUCACGUGAUCCAAAUCAACUAAACCAUGUCCGAUCGUCACGUGAGAUGGAGUAGUUUCAAUGGUGAACAUCACUAUGUUGAUCAUAUCUACUAUAUGAUUCACGUUCGACCUUUCGGUCUCCGUGUUCCGAGGCCAUAUCUGUUAUAUGCUAGGCUCGUCAAGUUUAACCUGAGUAUUCUGCGUGUGCAACUGUUUUGCACCCAUUGUAUUUGAACGUAGAGCCUAUCACACCCGAUCAUCACGUGGUGUCUCAGCACGAAGAACUUUCGCAACGGUGCAUACUCAGGGAGAACACUUCUUGAUAAUUUUUAGUGAGAGAUCAUCUUAAAAUGCUACCGUCAAUCAAAGCAAGAUAAGAUGCAUAAAGGAUAAACAUCACAUGCAAUCAAUAUAAGUGAUAUGAUAUGGCCAUCAUCAUCUUGUGCUUGUGAUCUCCAUCUCCGAAGCACCGUCGUGAUCACCAUCGUCACCGGCGCGACACCUUGAUCCCCAUCGUAGCAUCGUUGUCGUUACGCCAUCUAUUGCUUCUACGACUAUCCCUACCGCUUAGUGAUAAAGUAAAGCAAUUACAGGGCGUUUGCAUUUCAUACAAUAAAGCGACAACCAUAUGGCUCCUGCCAGUUGCCGAUAACUUCGGUUACAAAACAUGAUCAUCUCAUACAAUAAAAUAUAGCAUCACGUCUUGACCAUAUCACAUCACAACAUGCCCUGCAAAACCAAGUUAGACGUCCUCUACUUUGUUGUUGCAAAUUUUACGUGGCUGCUACGGGCUGAGCAAGAACCGUUCUUACCUACGCAUCAAAACCACAACGAUAGUUCGUCAAGUUAGUGCUGUUUUAACCUUUGCAAGGACCGGGCGUAGCCACACUCGGUUCAACUAAAGUUGGAGAAACAGACACCCGCUAGUCACCUGUGUGCAAAGCACGGCGGUAAAACCAGUCUCGCGUAAGCGUACGCGUAAUGUCGGUCCGAGCCGCUUCAUCCAACAAUACCGCCAAACCAAAGUAUGACAUGCUGGUAAGCAGUAUGACUUGUAUCACCCACAACUCACUUGUGUUCUACUCGUGCAUAUAACAUCAACGCAUAAAACCUAGGCUCGGAUGCCACUGUUGGGUAACGUAGUAAUUUCAAAAUUUUCCUACACACACGCAAGAUCAUGGUGAUGCAUAUCAACAAGAGGGGGAGUGUAUCUUCAUACCCUUGAAGAUCGCUAAGCGGAAGCAUUUAUCAACGCGGUUGAUGUAGUCGUACGUCUUCACGAUCCGACCGAUCCAGGUACCGAACGCACGACACCUGCGAGUUCUGCACACGUUCAGCUCGAUGACGUCCUCGCCUUCUUGAUCCAGCAAGACGGGCGAAGUAGUAGAUGAGUUCUGGCAGCACGACGGCGUGGUGACGGUGUCAGUGAAGAACAAUCUCCGCAGAGCUUCGACUAAGCACUACGGAAACUAUGAUGGAGGAUAAACUAGAGGGGGCGGGGUUGCCGGCACAUGGCUUGGUGUUUCUUGAUCUGUCUAUGGUUAUAGCCCUGCCCCUCUAUUUAUAUGUUGAGCCUUGGGGUCGAAACUUGGAGUAAAAGCCUCCACAAAGUCGGUUUCACCCGAAAGGCAAGAGUCCUUCUCGGACUCUAGGGCCAGACGCCAGGGUUCCCGGCAUCUGGACCCAGACGCCAGGGACCCUGGCGUCUGGCCCCUGGACUCCGCAAAACUUCUGUUUGCGCUUUCCAAAAACCUUGUGGGCUUUCCCCUUUGGCCCAAAUAACAUGUUCUCGUACCCAAACAUUUCGGGAAACAUCCGAAACCCCUUCCGGUGAAUUCCGGAACCCUUCCGGAGAUCAAACACUAUUAUCCCAUAUAUCAAACUUUAUCUCAGGACCAUUCCGGAGUUCCUCGUCAUGUCCAUGAUCUCAUCCGGGACUCCGAACAACAUUCGGUUACCAACAUACAUAACUCAUAUAAUACUAUAUCGUCAACGAAAUGUUAAGCGUGCGGACCCUACGGGUUCGAGAACUAUGUAGACAUGACCUAGAACUGUUUCCGGACAAUAACCAAUAGCGGAACCUGGAUGCUCAUAUUGGCUCCUACAUAUUCUACGAAGAACUUUAUCGGUCAAACCGCAUAACAACAUACGUUGUUCCCUUUGUCAUCGGUAUGUUACUUGCCCGAGAUUCGAUCGUCAGUAUCUCAAUAUCUAGUUCAAUCUCAUUAACGGCAAGUCUCUUUACUCGUUACGUAAUGCAUCAUUCCGUAACUAACUCAUUAGCUACAUUGCUUGCAAGGCUUAUAGUGAUGUGCAUUACCGAGAGGGCCCAGAGAUACCUCUCUGACAAUCGGAGUGACAAAACCUAAUCUUGAAAUACGCCAACCCAACAUGUACCUUUGGAGACACCUGUAGAGCUCCUUUAUAAUCACCCAGUUACGUUGUGAUGUUUGGUAGCACACAAAGUGUUCUUCCGGUAAACGGGAGUUGCAUAAUCUCAUAGUUACAGGAACAUGUAUAAGUCAUGAAGAAAGCAAUAGCAAUAUACUAAACGAUCAAGUGUUAGACUAACGGAAUGGGUCAUGUCAAUCACAUCAUUCUCCUAAUGAUGUGAUCCCGUUAAUCAAAUGACAACACAUGUCUAUGGUUAGGAAACAUAACCAUCUUUGAUUAAUGAGCUAGUCAAGUAGAGGUAUACUAGUGACGUUAUGUUUGUUUAUGCAUUCACACAUGCAUCAUGUUUCCGGUUAAUAUAAUUCUAGCAUGAAUAAGAAACAUUUAUCAUGAUAUGAGGAAAUAAAUAAUAACUUUAUUAUUGCCUCUAGGGCAUAUUUCCUUCAGGAUGUGAUCACGGACAUAACGAUUAGUCUCGAAAUGGUCGAGACAUAAAGAUUGAUAUAUUGGACGACUAUAUUUGGACACCGGAAAGGUUCCGGGUGAGAUUGGGAUAACACCGGAGCUCUGAGAGGUUAUCGGAACCCCCCGAGAGGUAUAUGGGCCUUAUUGGGCCUUAGUGGAAAGGAGGGAGAAGAAGAAAAGGAGGGGGCGCCCCCCCCCAAGCCCAAUCCGAAUUGGGAGGGGGCCGGCCCCCUUUCCUUCUUCCCUCCCCCCCUCUUCCUUCCCUCUCCCUCUCCUAAUAGGAAAGGGGGGCGUCCUACUCCCAGUUGGGUUUGGACUCCCCCCUAGGGUGCGCCACCCCCCUUGGCCGGCCCCCCCUCCACUCCUUUAUAUACGGGGGAGGGGGCACCCCAUAGACACAACAAUUGAUCUCUUGAUCUCUUAGCCGUGUGUGGUGCCCCCCUCCACCAUAGUCCUCGAUAAUUGUAGCAGUGCUUAGGCGAAGCCCUACGACGGUAGAACAUCAAGAUCGUCACCAUGCCGUCGUGCUCACAGAACUCUUCCCCGACAUUCUGCUGGAUCGGAGUACGGGGAUCGUCAGCGAGCUGAACGUGUGCCAGAACUCGGAGGUGCCGUAGUUUCGGUGCUUGAUCGGUCGAGCCGUGAAGACGUACGACUACAUCAACCGCGUUGUUCUAACGCUUCCGCUUUCAGUCUACGAGGGUACAUGGACAACACUCUCCCCUCUCGUUGCUAUACAUCACCAUGAUCUUGCGUGUGCGAAGGAUUUUUUUUUUGAAAUUACUACGUUCCCCAACACGAGAAUCCUCUGAGUUUACUGUCUUGCAGUUUUAUUCGCAUGAAAACCCUUAUGGUUUUUUCUCACAUUUAACAAGGAUCCAUUAUUCUCGGUUGUUCAUGUGUCUCACAUAAUUCUUCGGAAUACUUUUCGAUCUUUCAAAAAUCCUCUGCAGCCUGUUACUCUCGAAACUCUUGCCUGCUUGCAUAUGGUUAAUUCCAUAUGACUAGUAGUCCUCGUUAACAUCCCUUGUCUUAGUCAUUUUGAGCCUAUUGAUUCAAUGUGUGCAUACACACGCAGUCAUCAGGUUAUCCUUUUUUUUAAAAAAUUAUCUUUCCGGCUCAGGCGUCAUUCCGGACAUGAGUUGGUUCUCGGCAAUUCAAACCUUUAUUGAUUGCCCAACUAAGUGUUUUCAACUAUCCAUCCUUGAUCAGAGCGUCUGCUUCUCAUCCUUCGUUUUGGAAACCAUAAUUUCUUUCUAUUUUAAGCAUCAGACUAACUAGCUGAUUCUUGAAUCUGAUGCCUCUGCAUUCUUCUUCCUCUGAGUGAGUACCGAGACUCACAUCAGCUUUGUUGUGGAUCGCCUAAUCCAUUGUUGGAUUGGUAUCCGACAGUGUCCUUCAUAGGCAAUAACCUUGUGAGUCCUUCCCCUGAUACAUAAUGCCUUUGGUAAAUUGUAUCCUCUGCUUGGUCAACCAUGCUCUGCUUUCGAGCUUGUGAAUUUACUUCUGAAACUUGUGGUAUAUGUUACUAAGAUGCCCGAUGGGUUGAACCUAUGCCUUCCCCUAAUCCGUGAGAACCCGAAAGUUUUCACAAGUCAUACUCUUUCGGUGUUCUACCAGAUAAAAUUCCAACACUACAGUUUUAUCAAAGCAAGAGUUGAAUUAAAUGAUAUGCAUUAAAGAAGUGGGAGUUGACCUUGAACUUUGUGUUCAUGCCCAUGAAAAUGAUGUAGACCGUCUCGGAGCUUCUUACAAAUGAUUAUCCAGCUGUAUGAUUCUUUCGGUAUUCUUGAAAUUGAUUCCUUACAGUUAUGGUUCUAACCAUGCUGUCUUGAUCUGAUAUAUCUGAUGGGAAUUCAAUCUAGUGCCUCGUCUAUUUUUGGUAAGGUUGAAGUAUCUACUGUCAUAGGUCAAUGACCCGGUCCUACUUCUAUCAUGUUCUACCUUCGAGUAUUACCCCCUGGUAUCUCGAAGAUGUCUCUCCAUUGCACCACAUCUUACUAACUUUGUUGAAGUAAUUUCUUUCCUUGUUGUAAUCACUCAUACGUGUUCUGGAUUAUUGCCAACCGAGGACACCGACUAGUGAAAUUGUUCCGCACUAUAAAUCAAAUACCCCUAGUAUUUUUACUGGGAAAUUCUGAACCCAGUCUGGUCAUUCCUAGACUAUCGGCUGCAUCCUGGUCUUGCUAUCUUUAACUAUGCUACCUCGUCCUUCUCUGGUGUACGAAUUCAUCAGUGUGUGAGCAUGACUUACGUCGAGCUUUCAACAUCAUGUUGCUUGUCUUGAAAGGCAACUUUGGUUCCGAGCUUGCAUCUUACAUAUUGAUCCUAUAACUUGCCACUUCGUCAUUCCCUUUCUUGUUGCCGUUGUUGUUUGAUUGCAUCCUCUUGAAACCUCUCGGCAAAUGUGUCGGAUCACCUUCAACAAUUUGACUUCUUCCGAGAUCUCAACUGUGUUCAUGAUGAGAAAUACCCUCCUUGCCCUCGAUGAUUUUUAUUAUCAUCGACAACACCCUUGAAUUCCUUUCAUUGCGAACUUGUCCACAUUAUUAAUACAACUUGCUCUCCAGCUAGUGUUGUGUUCUACCUUGAAGUAUUACUAUCUUUUCUGGCGAGAAUGUUGUGGGGAUUGCUCCAGCUCUUAGAAAUUCUCGGUAUGAUGAUACUUCUCACCAUCACCAUUCUUCCUUGGUCCCCGUGUUGUUUUUAACCAGGAUACCAAUAUGCUAACGAUGCUGCUUGAGUUUUGGACUUCUAGCAACCCUAUUGCUUUGAAGUUAAUGAUCGACACUUCGUUCUUAGACUGUUGGUUAUUGAAUCAUCACUCUAACAUUGAUCUUGCUGCCUAAGGUCAUAUUUCAGGCACGCCUUUCAACUAAUGAUUGAUGGUGUAUGUUUUCUUCGAGCAUACAACAUUAUAUCCUUUGAAUUGACAAGUGUCAUCUUCUUGUUCACAUUAUUGUGGAAAUCCAUCCGUUUGGAAUUCUCAAUGAAUUGUCGCUUAGCCCAUCAGCCACCUCCUCAUUCCAUCCUUGGUUUAAUGAUGAACUAUUGUUUCAGGAACCCGCUCCCAUAGUUCAUUUCCCGAGAAUCUUGCAAUGUCAUUUCACCGAUUCAUGUCGCACCUUUUCUUCUCGGACAUCCUGAGUCUGAGGUAUCAUGACACCAAUCGGAUCUGAAUCUCGGUCGGAUAUGAUGGUUGGGACAACUUUCCAGGAGUUAUGAUGUUGGUCCUUUGAUUACCCGGUAAUAUGAUGUCAUGCCUAGCACCUCUAGCUGGAGGACAUAUCAUUAUAAUUUCUUUUGCAAGGAUAACCAUUCUUCCUGGAGGAAAUUGUAAGACUUAAUUUAUAAGUUGCUCCUGAUGGAUCAUUUGUGUAUCCAAAGUCUGGCCUUUAUUGGAACACCAUAUCAUUGCUACCUCGAAGCAUGACUAUGAUACCACGUUCAUCAACAAGAACAUUGGAGGCGCGAUGCUAAAUGUUUCUUGGUCAGUUAUCCAAACACCGUUGUAUGGGUAACAUCUUGAUUAAUCCUUGCCUCUUCUCUGAAUGGUUGGGUACUUGCUCUCCUACCCUAUAUGCCAUGUCCUGCUUGUACAUGGGAAGGAUAUACACCUAAUAAUUGUGUGUAAACACAAUUUUCCUUUCCAUUGUUCUGUUUACUCUGAUAAUCGCGUUUUCCUUUCCAUUCUUUUGCUUAACCUUUCCCGAAUCUGACUUAACUAAGUAGAGAUAAUUCCCUGCUUAGGUAGGUACCUUGUUGUACCACUCUGUUUGUAAGACCCUGUUACUAUUGUUGAUGACAUUCCGGUAACCACCGAUGGGUGAUAACUUUGCCAAUUGGUUCGCCUCGUUCAACAAGCAGGGAAAUUGCUCUCUUCGUUCCCCGUCCUUGGUACCAACUUUUUUGCCGGCAUAGCUGACAAGCUAUUCACUGACAUGCCUCCCUGUCGCGGCUAUGCAAGAUGUCACCACCCUUCAUACUUUCAACCCACAUGGUGGGCCCAUAACCCACAGGUCCACUAGAUCGAAACCUGACUCUUCUUUAUAACCCAAAUUCUAAUGUAUCCUUUGCACGUGGCUUCAUAUGUGAUUCGCGAGCUGAAUACUAUACCAUUAUUCAUCCUGGAAUCAAACACCAUGUUAUUCUCGUUGUUCAACCCCCCAUUCUAGCUUCUGUCUAGUCAUCGAAUGAUUGCCUACCCAUUUGAAACUUUGGUACCAUCGUAUGUUGCACUCAAUGAAUUCAUUGAAAUACAACUCGUGGGGUACUGUGUUUAUUUCCCAUUGAGUUCACAGUCAGAUGCCCAACUUUGUGGAGAUGCAUUCUUCCGGAGUUUUUCCCCUUGGUCGCGUUUGUAGCACGAUGGAGAUCCUGAAGAAAGGAUCAUGGCUAACCAUUACGACCUGAAGCAGAGAAAUGAAGACAUCAACGUAAUGGAUCGACCUCUUCGAGAAGAGCAACCAAAACUGAGAAGAGUCUCUAGAAUUUCGUAACCGAUUCUUUGCCCUUAACUCCACCUCUAAAAUCUCGGGACGGGAUUUUUGUAGUGGAGGAGAUUUGUAACGCCUGGAUAAUUAAACAACGGUCACUCCACACUAAUUAUGCCAAGUCAUCACUAUUAUGCCCUAAGAAAAACAAUUAAGAAAUAUUUCAACCCCAAAUUCAAAAUUUAAAAUAAAGUCAAAUAUUAUUUCUACAAACCGUAAAACAAAAAUGUUGGAAGUAUUCCAUAAAAUCCCCGAGUAUUUCCCUUGUAGAAAUCAAAACCAUUUGGUUUACAAAAUUUGACUAUAGCAUUUUUUGUGUGGACCAGCAACCUCUAAGUUGGUCAAUUAAAUUCAAACACAAAAUCAAAGAAUUGCGAAUACCCUCAAACUUUUGUACAACCCUAGAUUAUUGCAUAUAAUUUUGGCGCAAAGUUUCAUAUUUAGAAAAACUCAUUGAACACUAAACUUUUUAGAGAACAGUAGCUACUUGUUAUUUUAGCAAAAGAAACUAGGAAAGGUUCCUAUGCACUUUGGCCCGUUAGAAAUAUUAGCAGCCCAGCUCACCGCGGUCACCCCCAUUCUCCUGUCCCCCCUCGCUCGCUGUCCUCUACGCGCACGUGCCCGAGGCCGGUCGCCGUCUCAACCGCACCCACUCGCCCCCUCGCGUCGCUACAGUACCAUUGAGGCGGAUAAGGCUGUCCCCGCGCCCCCUCCAUUCCCUUCCUCCUCGCUGGAUCUCUUCCCUCCUCUGUCACCCGAACGCCAUAGGCAUGUCGUCGCCGUGCUCGUGGCCACAAGCCUCCCCGGCGCUCGGGAGGAAGUCGAGGAGCACCGCCGUCCUCUUUUGCACCGUCUGCAAGCGCUAGGUCGAGCUGGAGCGCCUCGCGACGUCCCAUCGGCCUUCUUCCCCAACCACGGCCGUCGUCGUCCACCUCGUCGAUCCGCCGCCCCGGUCCACCUCCGGCAUCCCCGACCUCGUCAUCGAGUUCGCAGUGAGCAUCUCCUCCGAUUCCCUUCAUUUCCCUUCGAUCCAUCGCCGUAUGUCAUUGUCCCAAGGCCAUGGCCGGAGCUCCGGUUUGGCGUACGCGUACGUGUUGCUGUUGCUUGCUGCGUUCAUCUACCGCACCUACUGUUGCUGUUGUGCCGCUGCAUUUGCUCGGCCUGCUAGUGCUGCUGCUAGGCACUACCGCCGCUCUCUACUCUCCUGCAUCUUGUCACUGCGCUGCUGCUUUCGGGUGGCCAUGGCCAAGGCCAUGGACGAGUAUGCCGUGUGCUAUGUGUGCGUGUGUGUGCAGAGCCUCAUGGCUGGAUGUGCUACCACGCCAGCCCAAAAUCAAUUAGGGGCUAAUUAGUACUAACCAACAACCCCAUUAAUUAGUCAUAACAACAGGGCCCACAACCAGUUAGUUUACUUAAAAAGAAAAAAACAAUCUGUUAAUCAAAAGUCUCACUGACACAUGGGUCCUACUGUUCUUUUGACCAGUCAACCUGCUGACUUGGCAGUCCCAGUCAGUGAUAGGUGGGACCCCAGCGCCCCUUGACCAGUCAAUGUUGACCCAGUCAACUGCUGAUUGGGUCCACAUGUCAAUCUCUACUGCUGACUGGGCAUUUUUAUUUCAUUUUCGUAUUAAAUAAAUUUCAGAAAUUAAUUAAAACUUUGAAAAUUCAUAUAAAAUAAACCGUAACUCCAAUGAAAAUAAUUUAUAUAUGAAAGUUGCUCAGAAAAAUACAACGAAUCCGAAUACGCAUCCCGUUCGUCCACCACACGUCCCUAGAAUAGCGAAUUUGCAACAAUCCCCCUAUGAUACGUUUGUCCGAAAACGUGAAACACCGGGAAUACCUUCUCGGGAGUUUCCCCACUUCGCUGGUAUCACCUACUAUUGCGUUAGGUCACCUCUAGCACCACGUAUUGCCAUGUUACGUUUUGUGAUGCUUUGAUUGCUCGGUUAUUUAUUGUGUUCCCCCUCCGUUACUUCUUUCCGGUAGACCCCGAGACUGCAGGUGACCCCCAGUUCGACUAGGGUGUUGACGACCCCUCCUUGCCAGAGCAACCAGGCAAGCCCCCCCCCCUUUGAUCACCAGAUAUCGCCCAUUCUACCCUCUACUGCUUGCAUUAGAGUAGUGUAGCAUGUUACUGUUUUGAUUAAUCCUAUUCUGUUGCAUAGCCUGUCAUUGUUGCUACAUCUGUUGAUACCUUACCUGCAAUCCUAAAUGCUUAGUAUAGGAUGCUAGUUUACCAUUAGUGGCCCUACAUUCUUGUCAGUCUGCCAUGCUAUACUAUCGGGCCGUGAUCACUCGGGAGGUGAUCACGGAUAUAUAUUAUACAUACAUAUACUAUACAGAUGAUGACUAAAGUCGGGUCAGCUCGUUGAGUACCCGCAAGUGAUUCCGAUGUGGGGGCUGGAAGGACAAGUGGCUCAAUCCCGGUAGAGGUGGGCUUGGGUUCCCGACGGCCCCCGACUGUUACUUUGUGGCGGAGCGACAUGGCAGGUUGAGACCACCUAGGCGAGAAGUGGGCCUGGCCCUGGUCGGCGUUCGCGGUUACUUCAUAAUAACACGCUUAACGAGAGCUUGAUAUUUGAUCUGAGUCUGGCCACUAGCCUAUACGCACUAACCAACUACGCGGGAACAAUUAUGGGCACUCGGCGUCGUGGUAUCAGCCGAAGCCUUCUUGACGUCAGCGACUGAGCGGCGUGCGCUGGAUUGUACCGUAAGCCUGCUCUUGUAUUAAGGGGGCUAGUUCUGCUUCCGGUCGUGUACGCAACGUGUAGGUGUGCAAUGGGCGAUGGGCCCAGACCCCUGCGCGCAUAGGACUUAGACCGGCGUGCUCACCUCUUUGUUAAGCCUAGGUAGGGCUGCGACGUGUUGAUCUUCCGAGGCCGGGCAUGACCCAGGAAAGUGUGUCCGGCCAAAGGGGAUCGAGCGUGUUGGGUUAUGUGGUGCACCCCUGCAGGGAAAUUUAUCUAUUCGAAUAGUCGUGUCCCUCGGUAAAAGUAUAACCUGGAGUUGUACCUUGACCUUAUGACAACUAGAACCGGAUACUUAACAAAACACACCCAGACAAGUUCCACAGACAACCCGUUGAUCGCUUUUCCACAGGGCGACGAGGGGAGGAUCGUCAGGUAGGAUUAUGCUAUGCGAUGCUACUUGGAGGACUUCAAUCUACUCUCUUCUACAUGCUGCAAGACGGAGGCUGCGAGAAGCGUAGUCUUUGAUAGGACUAGCUAUGCCCCUCUUAUUCUGGAAUUCUGCAGCUCAGUCCAUCGAUAUUGCCUCUUUACACAUAUACCCAUGCAUAUGUAGUGUAGAUCCUUGCUUGCGAGUACUUUGGAUGAGUACUCACGAUUGCUUUUCUCCCUCUUUUUCCCUUUCCUUUUUACCUGGUUGUCGCAACCACAUGUUGGAGCCUCGGAGCUAGACGCCACCAUCGACGACGACCCCUACUACACCGAGGGUGCCUACUACUAUGUGCAGGCCGCUGACAAUGACCAGGAGUAGUUUAGGAGGAUCCCAGGCAGGAGGCUUGCGCCUCUUUCGAUCUGUAUCCCAGUUUAUGCUAGCCAUCUUAUGGCAACUUGUUAACUUAUGUCUGUACUCAGAUAUUGUUGCUUCCGCUGACUCGUUUAUGUUCGAGCACUUGUAUGCGAGCCCUCGAGGCCCCUGGCUUGUAAUAUGAUGUUUGUAUGACUUAUUUUACUUUUAGAGUUGUGUUGUGAUAUCUUCCCGUGAGUCCCUGAUCUUGAUCGUACACAUCUCAGCUCAUCAUGGGCUUGCAUGGAGAGCGGUAGGUGGAAGGUUUCGUUGAGAUUAGGACUCCCAAGGAAAUCUCUGACCGAGAUAUCUUCAAGUUUAGCGUAUGAAAAUGCACGUGGGUGUGAUUCUGCAAGUAUCUCAUCAAGCCAAAGGUCUUUCCACAUCAGCACGGUGUCUCCCGAGUGGACUGUCACAUUGGAGAUGCCUCGAUAAAUUGUAGUAAGUUUGAGAAUGUCCUUCCACCAGAACGAACCGCAAGGGUUUGAGGCAUGAGGGAUCUUGUCAAUAUAGUAGGUAGACCAUAUCAAAUCAACCCAUGGUACGUACCAACGAUUGUAGAAUUUAUGGAGGUAUUUCAUGAGCAAUGCAUCACUUUGGGUUUUAAUGUUCAGUACCCCGAGGCCACCACAUUCUUUAGGAUGGCAGACCAUUUGCCAGGAGGUCAGUGAGUUGCACUUGUCUCCAUCGUCCGUUUUCUUUGUCCAAAGGGAUUUCCUUCUGAUUCUGUCGAGAAGUUCAAUAAUCUUUGGCGGUAAUUUCAGAGUACAUAGUGCAAAGAUUACCAAAGACGUGAUGACAGAGUUCAACAGCGAUAGUUUACCUCCAUAAGAUAUCAUCGACAAAGUUGAGGAGAGACAUCUUUCAACUCCACAGACCAGAGGCAUCAGAUGUUGCACCGUCGGUUUUGAGGUACCCAUGAGUAGUCCAAGGUAGGUGAAAGGUAGAUUCCCUAUCACACAACCAAAUAUUUGUGCCAUAUGUUGAGCAGUGACAACAUCACAAUUCAAGGGUACAAGGGUUGACUUGUGAAAGUUGAUUUUAAGCCCAAUGGAGGUUGCAUAAGAAGUGAGGAUUUGCUUGACUAAAGUAGCUUGAUUAGCACAGGCCGGGAGUAACAUGAUGGUAUCGUCAGCAUAUUGUAUCACCAGAUAGUCCGUUUGGUUGGGUUGAUGAAAAGGCAGUUUCAGUUCAUUUCUUCUAUAAUAAUUAUUGAUAGCCGCUUGGAGUAGGUCAGUGGCAAGGACAAAAAUGAGGCGGGACAGUGGAUCCCCUUGUCGAACACCACAUUUGCAAUGAAACUGUCGACCUGGCACUCCAUUAAGGAGAACUAAGGAUUUGCCAGAGGAGAAAAUGUCUUUGAUCCAGCCCAGCCACUUAUCAUUGAAGCCCAUGUGCUUCAUAAUUUCGAACAUGGCCUCAUGUUCAAUAGUAUCGAACGCUUUUGCGAAGGCCAACUUGAGCAAGACAAUUCGCUGCUUAGAAGUUUGGCAUUGAUGUAUAUACUCGAAUGCCCACACAAGGUAGUCCUGAAUGAACCUCUUUUUCAAAAAGCCGUAUUGGUUGCGAUGUAUAAUCUUCAAAAUAACUUUUUGCAACCGAUUAGCCAGAAGUUUUGUGAUGACUUUGAGACAGCAAUUAACAAGUGUGAUUGGUCGGAAAUCAUUGACUCCUUGUGGCGCGGCAACCUUGGGGAUGAGAGUGAUAUAACCAUCUUAAUGCUUUCAAGAUUGAGUCCUCCAUCAAAGAAUUGGUCACAUAAAGCAUAAAAGUCUUCCUUUAUUAUAUGCCAACAAGACUUGAGGAAUGAGCCAUUAAAUUCAUCCAGUCCUGGUGCCCUGUCGGCUGACAUUUCUUUGAUUACUAGGUCAAUUUCCUGUCUAGUGAAUGGGACAGUUAGAGCAUCAAGUCUAUCAAUCUUCGUAAUGAUUGAUUCAAGAUUAAAUUUCAUCUCAUGCUUGGAGGAGGUUCCUAGUCUCUCUUUGAAGGAGUGAAAGAUGAUAGACUCUUUGCUCGCAUGAUCUUCGGCUAUAGUUCCAUCUUGGAGGGUGAGGGAGGCUAUAUUGUUCCUUCUGUAUCGUUCCGAUGCCAUGGCCUGGAAAAAUUUAGAGUUCUCAUCGCCAAAAUGAACCCAAUGAAUGGUGCACCCUUUUUCUAAUAUUGUCUCUGGUAAGAUAGAAGUCUCAAAAUGUGGGAUUUGAGGAUAUUCCUAAAAUUUGUCUCAGGAAUGGUUAGCCGCCUUCUGUUUUCAAUGGUGUCAAGUUCAGACAAAGCCUUAUUAGAGUUGUCGAUGGCAAUGGAUAGGUGGGAGAUAUUUUUGCUCCAAUGUUUCAGACAGUGACGUAAGUGUUUGAACUUUCUACAAAGAAUGGUUGCACUAUUGGUUGCUCUGACCGGUUUAUACCAAGCAGCUUGGACAGUCUCGAUAAAUCCAGGGUGUUCAAUCCAGAAAGGCUCGAACUUGAAGAGUUUGCUCCAUGGGAUUGUAGUUUCGAUUGUGAUAACACAUGGGAUGUGAUCAGACACUAGUUUACCUAAUGGUUUAUCAAUGGUUUCAGGGUAAAAGUGUGUCCAAUUGCAAGAUGUAAAGAACCAGUCAAGCUGUUCAAAUAGGGGGUCUUGCUGCAUAUUACUCCAUGUAAAUGUGCGGACCUUGAUUGGCAGUUCAACAAGACUUUGUGAUCAUAUAAAAUCAUUAAAUGUGAUCAUAUCAUUAACGUUCCCUCCAGGUUUAUUACGGUUUUCUAGACUACGGAUAUAGUUGAAAUCCCCCACGAGAAGCCAAUCUUCAGUAACCGGAAUAUUUAAGGAAAAGAGCCAAUUAGUAUAAGUUACACGUGGGUCACCUUGGCAAGGUCCAUAGAUAUUCAUGAGUGUCCAGGAUUGAGAGGAUUGUGUGGAGUGAAAUUUUGUGACCAGAGCGAAUUCCUCCGAAGCAAUCACUGUACCAGUAAAAACAACAUUGUUCCAAAUGGUGACAAUCCCACCCGAAGCCCCACGGAAGGAACAAAAGCAAACUGACCAAAACAACGGGGGCAACAGGACUUGAUGACCACAUGAUCAAUAACAGAUUUUUUAGUUUCUUGCGGACAUAAAACCGACAGCCACUAGCAACUAUAGCAUUGGACAGAGCUAAUUGUUUGUUGCCAGAAUUUAACUCGCGAAUGUUCCAACAUAAAACGGUCCAAUUAACCAAAAGACCCAUUGAAGGAGAAACACAAAUAAAUUAAGCAGAAUAGGAUGACCCCGCGUCUUAAGAGGCGAUGAGCGCAUCAUCAGUAAGUUCUUCUGCCGGAAUGGCGCAUUUGAGCACGCCCACCUGCUAGAUCACCUGGAUGGGUGUGGGAGGAGGCACCGCAUCGUCAUCAGUUUUUGUGAUAACAACUGAAGAGGGAGCAGCCGGAGUGUGCCGUGGUUUAACCUUGGAAGCUUUCUUCUUAGUGUCAGUGAUAGCAGGGACACGGAAACCAUCAUACUUAUUAGAGCGUGCACUACGCCAGAGGCUAACUGCAGAUUCAGGAACCUGGAUCUUUCCAUGGUAACUAGCAGUUGCAAUACUGACAUUAAGAGGAGACGGAGUGUUAUCAACAGUAGGAGGAGGUGUCAGCAAAGUGGAACUGCUCGGCGUCAGUGAAGGCAGGGCAUCCAGGUUGAUAGAAUCAUCGACUGCCCAGCUCUGCAUAGUGGUUAUAGAUUCAGCAUUAUCUCCGGUGACUUGAUGCUCUGCAGUGACAAUGAAAGAUCCAUUGUGGCUGGACACCUGAACAUGAACAUUCAGACUGUCUCUGAAUCCGAGUCCCGAACUCCAAGGUCCAAAAGUGGCCAAAAUAGGCCUAAUAGCCUGCAUAAGAAAAGAAGAGAUCUGUCUCGCUGGCCUUGAGUUAUGAAACAGCAAAGAUGCAACCAUGUUUCCCUGAUCGGACCAUGACAGUUGCAGUCCAGAGUUAUUGAGGGAGAGAUCAAUAUGGAGGGCUGGUGCAGGUUGUGGCAGAGGAGCCUGAUAAGCACUAACAGUGUUGACAUUGUUGUUCCUCCAUAGAGAAUUCAGAAGGUUAACAUGCACUAAAACAAAUCCAUUAGAGUUUGCACUGGAACUGGAGCUGCUCUGCUGAGAUAUAGAAUCAUUCCAAGCCAUGGUAGGGCUAUCUUGAAGAUUAUACUCUGGAAGCAUGCCAUCAGCAACCUGAAGGCCUUCACUUGCCAACCAGGCCUGAAAGUUAUAGGCAGCAGUGGGGGAAGGCCAAGCACCCCCAAUGCGCCUGAAACUGCAUGUGGUUUCCUUGAUCAACAACAACCUCAUCAUCUGCAUUGUUAGUUGCAUUGUUGACUUGGUCAGCUGCCACAUUUUGGGCCAUCCAAUUGUGGAGUUGUGUCUGAUAAAUCUGCUCCGCAGUCAGGCCCUCACCAAAGAGAGGAUGAGGGAUACCAUCAUCUAGGGGGGGGGGGAUCUUCUCCGGCAGGCGGGCAGAUUCAUCAAGUAUAUAUCAUCAUGAUGUGUAUUCAUCAUAUAGCUGUUGAGAUCCAGCAAUGCUCAAUGCCAAAAAAGUAAGAUAAUGGUUAUGGAAAAAUAGUAAACUUGCAACCAGAUUUAAAACAAACAGAACAGCAAAGUGAUGCCAUGACGAAAUGCUAACCAGAAUGCUUUUAAUAAAAGGGAUAAUUAGAUUUAUGCCCCUAGUUGAGUCCCACUCAUCUGUUUUACCCCUAAUUCCCAAAAGUCACCGGUUCUGUCCAAGUCACUUUGCUGCUCUUAUGCUUUUGCCCUUCGACCGUUUGACCGUUAGUUUGAAAACUUCAUAACUAAUUCAUACUAAAUCAGAAAAAUGCAAGUAAGAUACCAAAAUGUUCAGAAAAACAACACCUAUAUGUCAGUGUCAUUUGCAUUCAUGAAAAAAGUGUUGGAAAGUGCACUUGCGAGUUUUAGCUCUUUUGAUACCACCAUGAAUAGUAAACUCUAGAAAAAUUCAAAAAAAUUCAAAAAAAAUAUGGUGGCAAAGAAUGACAAAUGUUCUAAGUGCUUGCCAAGUUUCAUUAGGGAACGACAUUCGUGGAAGUCGUGGCAAAAAAAUAAUCUAUUUUGGAGUGUUGAUUGUUUUUUUUGCCGCGACACCCAUGAAUGUUAUUCCCUAAUGAAACUUGGGAGGCACCAAAAACAUUUGUCAUUCUUUGCCACCAAUUUUUUUUGAAAUUUUUUGAACUUUUUUAGAUUUUACUAUUCAUGGUGGUAGCAUAAGAGCUAAAACUCGGAUGGGCACUUUCCAACACUUUUUUCAUGAAUGCAAAUGACACUGACAUAUAUGUGAUGUUUUUCUGAACAUUUUGGUAUCUUAUUUGCAUUUUUCUGAUUUAGUAUGGAUUAGUUAUGAAGUUUUCAAACUGACGGUCAAAGGGUCAAAGGGCAAAAGCAUAAUAGGAGCAAAGUGACUUGGACAAAACCGGUGACUUUUGGGAAUUAGGGGUAAAACAGACGAGUGGGACACAACUAGGGGCAUAAAUCUAAUUAUCCCUUAAUAAAAUGGAUUGCUUCUAGCUGCUGUAGUAACGACAUGUAGGUUCCGUCAGGCCAUGAUCAAGUACUCCAAACCAUUGCAUGCUUUGCAAAAUAAAAUACUAGAUGAAUGUCACUAACAGGAGCACUAGGUGAAUAAUUGAACAAGACAUGGCAGUGUAUGUCUAAAGACAGGUGCUCCUUGCCGAUGUUCUUUGCAUAACUAUAGGCUGACCGUCAAGUUAGCAUUACAGAAAGCAAAAAGGAAAGUGGAAAAGACAUGGCAGCUUAUAGCUAUGCUGAGAACAUAGACAAGUAGCACCUGUCUUCAGAUAUUGUUGGCUUGCAGCCGCAGGUAUCCUUGCUUCAAGUCAGGUCCAGGAACUCUUUGUGUGCACAUCAAGGCAGAAUAGCAGCCUCGGUCGUCCAACCGCACUUCGCUGCAGGAAAACAAACAAAUGGCUGAACCAUCUUGGUAGAAAUAUAGUAAAAAAACUGCUAAAUGGACACUAGCAGCAAAAUAUAUUAGAAUGUUAAAUUUAACAUGCUAGGAGAGUGCCCCCCACACACAGUGUAAGUAAGACUAGCAUAUAGUAGUUUGUCUUCUAUAGAAUGCUUAUAAUAUAAGUAAGCAUGAGAGUGUACGUGUUGGAGCUUUGUCACGCAUAAAAAUAUUUUAUGAGGAGAACUAGAUACAUGUAUGUGAUCAUUAGAAUGCAUACGUGUGUAGUCAUUCUUCCAAGCUAAGUAACGAGGCAUGCAAAUAGAGGUUAUGGUGGAAACUUUCUAUUGGCUGGACUUCACUAGUCUACAUGUUGGAUUUAUGAGUAGCUUGGUACAAGAAAUAAUACAUGGAGUACAAUGUAGCCAGAUAUUAGAAGAAGGUAGAAAAAGAAAUGGGAAGUCUGCUAGAAAUGCAUCCUGGUACCCGAAUAAGCAUGCUCAUGAAAGCAACUGGUAGAAAUCAGCAAGCGCCAGGCAGAAGGGACCUAUUGAAAAAGUUGAGCAUGAGUGGAACGGAACCCUUGGGUUGAGCAUAUUCCUGGUGGUAAGAAGGGUAGUGAGGUGGAGCAUCCAAAGCUGCAUGCGAUCAUGGGUGAAGUUGACAGCCAGUUUCACGGGCAAUUAAACUAGAGCGUGCAGAAUACAUUGUGAUCUAAUAUUAGAGUACAUGCUCAAGAUAUAAGUGGCAACGGAUCAUGAACGAAGCCCCAUGAUUAACUAGCAGUACUAGACAACCAUGAAUAAAGCCCCAGGAUUUGAUUUGGAGGUGGUAAUUAACCUUUGGUGUUGGCUUCGGCAUCUCCGAAGUCGUAGCUUGGGGUCCUGGGCGACGACGGAUCUCUGGCCGGGGUCGGCGCCAGCGCCAGCGUCGGUGGCCUGGCGGUUAGUAGCAUGGCCACGCCCGGCGUAUGGUAUGGUUCAAUCCUGCAGUGUAGCUUUGCCUCAAGCGACUCUUGAGUUUGUAGAAGAAAUGCCAGGUGCACGCGCACAUCGCUCCACCGAGAAGUGGAACCUAUUAUUGGGUAGAAAUGCAAACUUGUUAGUGAGCAAGCACAUGAACUGUCAUCAACAAAACUUUGCUGCUUGGAAUAGCCAUCUCAAUGGAAUGGAUGCACACUUCAAUAAGGAGGGUUCCUGAAGAAACUGCAUAUGCUCAGUUUAUGACAAAUCACUAGGUGAAGUGAACCAAAUCAUCUUCCAGAAUCUCAAUGGCAUGCAAAGCUUGCAAUAUUUCACACAUAAUUUCACACAUACUACAGAUACAUAUAUUAUCCACAACAAAAUUCUUCAGAAAAAAGCUUAUUUACCAAAACUCUGUAUUAGAAAGUUUGGCCAAUAUCAGCAACAAAGUUUGCCCAAAAUCCAGUCACCCCAAGAAGUCCAGUUCAUGUUGUACCAACAGUGCUUAAAGCAGUAGGGCAAACAAAAAGUAUAUAACAAUGAGGUGCAUUGAUUUCUGCUUUAAAAGGUUAUGCUUGAAGAACUAAGCUCCAGGCCCACUACUACAAGUUUUUGUUUCAAGUUUGGAACUUGCUGUCCGACACAAGUAGGGCCAUUAACAAGUUUCUGUUUCAAAAAACUUCGUGUACCCAUCAUUUUCAGUAUGCAUGUACUGUACUAGAAAAUGUGAAGCACCAAUCACUUUAAGAACAGUAGCCGGGACACCCUCAAACAGAGGGAAUCAUUAUGGACAUAAGCACAAGCCUACAGUGCUACUUCAGCAACAAGAUCACUUUGCAACUACGAAUCCUACAACGCAUCACAUGAACUACCAGAUAGGGCUACAAGCUACUUUGCAAAGAUCGCCAGAAUCACCCAUGUCGCCCUUGCUCUAGUAUCACAAAGUAAACUAUACC